rnacentral:lncRNA from 1 species
UUUAGGCAUCAGUUAUGUUAAUUAGUGGCAACGUAUCUGCCUUUCUACUUUCCUUAUGGUUGUAUAAGUACACCAGUCUUUCCUGCUAAAUAAUAUACAAGCCUUUUGCAUCAUAUUUUCUCUUUGUUCAUUCUUGUUAUAACCACUAUAUUUCAUCAAAUAACCAACAAGAACUCAUUAAGAAACUUGUAUGCCGAUUUUACCGAGAAUUCACAUUUUUUAUUCACCACCCAUAAGAAUUUAUCCUGCUGUUGCGAUGGAAGGAUCGGAAUUUGCAUAAUUUGUUGACUUCAAAUGCAAAGAAUAACUCAUUCAGCAGCUGAAUUUUCCAUCCUCCAUAUUUUGGAUUGGUUAGAGACUUUACAAAUAUUUAAGGAGGAGAAUGAGGAAUAAUUUACCAAGAAAGAAACUGAUGCAAAUCUUGCCACAAAUGAGGGGAUGUCGCUGAGAAAAGUGGCGGCCAAUAUCAUGUCCUGCUCGUAAUUGCAAAUGGAUAAUUAAUCCUUUAAUUGUUUUGAAUAAAUUUUUUUUUAUGAGAAUUAAUCCUUUAAUUAAUAUCUAGAUGGAACAAAUGCAAUAUUGUAGCUCAUAAGAUAUGAAGUACUGAUCCUUGCAUGAGUAUUAUGUCAAUGUAGGUUAGUAGCUAAACAUGAAAGCAUGGUAAAGGGCUCAAGAAAGCGAAAGAGAAGAAAUAAUGCAGCAACAUCACUUAUGUGUACCUGUCACUCUUCAUUCUUGGGUCACUUAUGUGUACCUGUCACUCUUCAUUCUUGGGUUCAUUAUCAACUAAUACAUCCUGUUGUUAAUUGGCUUCAAAUUUGUGGUUUAGAAGAACAGAGAAAUCGUGACACGAUUUCAUCAGCGUGUCAUGAUUUCCAGGCAGUGAGCAUGGUUUGCAGGGUGCUCAAUCGUGUCACGAUUUUGGAAAAACGUGACACGAUUUUCAAACUUGCUAGGUACGUUUUUCAGGAUAAGGUUGGUCGUACCUUGGGUCGUACGCACCAAUCGUGUCACGAUUUGGCAAAAACGUGACACGAUUUUGAUAGCUGAAGACUGCUAUAUAAGUGUUCUUGUGCAGAUUUUGAAGGUGAGCUGGAAGAGAGAGAAACUUGGAUUACAAAGGGGGUAACUUUAGGGUUGAGUGUCUUUGUAGUGAGGAUCUCUUAGGUUGAGAAACAUUGUAAACACCUUGGGUUGUGAGAUUUCACCAUUGGAAGGAUCAAAAGCUUCUUUUUAUGUUUUCUCUUAGGAUUCAUUAUUGAGUGUGGGUGACACAAAAUGGGUAGAAAUUAGGUCUUGCUCUUGUGUAAGCUUAUAAGCUAAUUUCUUGUAACUCCUUUGUAACACUUUCAUCAUAGUGGAUUGGAGAGUUGCUCUCUCCCCUAGAUUAGAUCAUAUUGGACUGAACUGGGUCAACAAUCUUGGUGUGUUUGUUCCUUUCUUUCAUUGCUUAUCUUUGUGCUUUGUGAUGUUGCUCUACACUUAGAUUUAUGUCUGUUUUUGUUGUUUUUGCUUGGAGACACUUUAUCCAUUGAUUACCACUUCCUUUGCUCCACACAUCUUUGUUCUUCAUUGGUGUGAUUUUGUACCGAAUUCACAACACAUCCAAAUAUUGAUUAUAAUGUAAGCACCGGUUACAUUAAUCAAGCUUUAUUAUUGAAUACAUAUAACACUGAUAGAAAACGAAAAUGGAGAGAAAAUCCACUGUUGGGAGAAGAGGUUAGUGGUUUUUAAUACUUACAUUGGUUGAUGAAAGAAAUUAGGAAAGAGAGCAAAACUGAUAACAUAUAUUGCAAAAACAAAAGUCCCACAUCCAAUGUUUGUACAAAACAGACAUGAAGAUAUGCCUAUAUAUAAAACAAGAGCCCACUUAUUGAUAUACUUAAACACUCAAAUUCUGUAAUACAGUGAUAUAUCACUACUUAUUGUUCGGUUGUCCUUCUUGCAGAUUAUAAGUGGACUCAUUUAACGAGUUUCAUUUUCUAAUCACUUGUAAUAUGCAGGAAUGUCAUUCGACUAAUAACAGGAUAUUAAAAAGUACUUCAAAUUUUGUUCAAAAACAAAAAAAAGUACUUCAAAUUAUUAAAAUAAAUUGUUCCUUUUUUUAAGGGAAAACAAAUCCUGCACUUAAUUAUGGAUAUUGAUGUGUUGGAUUUAUUUAUUUAUUUAUUUGUCAAGUAGUUUGAAUAGGUGUGGAGUGUUUCGAGUUUGAACCUUAACUCUGCAUAUAUCUUGUAAUGUCUUUAUGUGGAGUGUUCUGGGUUCGAAUCUCAAACUCGAUAUAUAUUAUACAAUUUCCUUGUUAACUUAGUUAACUCAUAGAGACAUGUUGGAUUUAUCUUUAAUGUCAUAAUAUAUUUUCCUUCUUUUUCUUUUGGGACGAUAUUUCCUUCUCCUUUUUAUUUGUUUAAUGAAUUUGGUUACUUUUGUUUGACACCAUUGUUUCUCUUUUCCUGUAAUAAUCAUACCUAGAAUUAGACCGGCACGAUGUGUGCAUGUCUUGAAUCUUAUCUUUAAUUAAAAAUAUAUUCCAAAUUUAUUAUUAACUUACUGCACAUACAAAUUUUGUUUGUGACAUUGAAUCAUGUUUUUAGGUAAAGUAAUGAUAUUUUGUCCAAAAAAAAUGUAAAGUUAUAAUAUGAUCAAAGAAUUGGUGACAUCAAAGAUAUAAUCUUAUCCAUUACGACUGUCUAUGCAAAUUUCUCUUCCCCUUCUAUGCAAUUUGCAUUGUGCUGCACAUAUUUACGAAGAUGAAUCAACAUGAUGAAAAGGAAAAUAUGAGUUAACAUGCACACAUAUUGAUCGAUUUAAAAAACACAAUAGUAGUCAAUAAUAUUGAAUGCAAUAAUGUGUUGACAUAGAAGAAUGGUAGAGUUCUCUUAGAGGUGCAACAUCAUAAUAUUUAUGACGUCGCACAUAGAGAGAUGAUGUGUCGUCAACACAAUUUGAGGGGUUGAAUUAAUAAAUACAACAAUAUAGAUAGAUUAGUUAUUAGCAAGGUCUUCCAAAAGAAACAAGGUCUUCUUAUUAGGUUUCCUCCGGUUCAGGAAAUUUUUCGAGGCAUUUCGCAUAGCUCUAUCAUUCUUUCUUCCAUGCACUUCCUUCAGUUCAAACAAACUCCACCGGCAUAUUCUCCACCGACAGUAGAAACUCUCGACAACUUCUCCCACCGCAAGCUUCAAACAAACGGGAAUCGAAAGCUUCGUACAAAAGUUGCAAUAAUUUUACAGUACAAAAAAGCUCAUCAACGACUUCCGAGAUAUUAAUCCACGUUCUCUCUUUUCUCCCAAUUGAAGAAGCAUUCAGAACUAGCGGGUUCACUUUCGUUGAUUCGUGGAUACAAUUAUGUUGACUCACUCUCUGUUGUCCGCUUUGAUGAUAUAAGCUUCUAUCAAAGAAACACAGAGAAGUGGGUUCACUUUCGUUGAUUCGUGGAUACAAUUAUGUUCAACCCACACUCUCAAUAAGUAACCCUUAAAUCUUAUAGUCUCGAGUUUUUUUCCAGACUCUUGAAUGUUGAGGCUGGCUGUGUCAUUUUCGAUAAAUGGGUUGAAGUAGCAAUGCAACGUCACAUAGAGGAUCUUUAUAUAUACUUGGUUAACGUCCAUUUGGUGCCUUCCACCAUUUUCUGUUGCAAAACACUUGUGUUUCAUUGUUAUGUAGAUCUUCCUAUGCUCAAAACUCUACAAUUGUUUAAUAUUUAUUUCGAAGUUGGGAAGGAUUUCAUGAAACUUAUCUCUGGGUGUCCCGAAUUGGAGGAUUGGAAAACUACAAUUGUUACACACAGAACGGUUAUAGAGUCCUACGGUACAUUGAAUUGAACCAUCAUUGAAGUUGAUCAAUGCCGAAAUCAUUUUAUUUGAGGUUCCAUAUACACCACUUAAAAAUGUAAAGUAUCUUAUUGUAACAUCAGUAUAAUGUUAUGUAUGUUGUUUGGUUUUUAUCGUGUUUAUGAUAUCCAUGUAUGUAUCUUCCUGUAAUUUGUAAUAUUUAUAGUUGAGUUCUUGUUAUUUUCUAUUCUACAUAUGCUUGUAAGAUAUGAAUUUGUUGUGCAUAGAUGGGAAAUUACACAUAUAUCAUAUUUAAAAAAUGUGAAUAGACAUCCAUACAUAAAAAACUUGCAACACAAUCCAAAAUACAUCAACCUGCAAAAUUAAGAAGGUAAUGAUGGCAAAGCUAAACCAAAACUAAAGCUGCCCCUUUAGCAUGCUAAACCAUGACUACUUAAAUAAUAAUGUGUGUGUGUGUGUAACGUUUAGAUGAUGAAGUUUCUUCUGUUGUAACUUUCCUUUAGAUGUUUGACUUUCUGUUCAGCUGUUUGGUAUACCAAAAGAAAUCCCACAUCGAAUAUGUGUAAAAAACAGACAUUGAGAUUUGCUUAUAAAAUAACAGUAUAUAUCAUUUACAAGCAUAUUUUUGGGGUUGUCUCAUAAUUUUAACUGUUUUAUAACAGUUUGUUAUUUAAAUGUUGUUUUUUUGAGAUGGCAAGUGAUUGGAUUUUUAAAUAAAUGCAGUUUAGUCUUAGUCACUUGCAAUUUCAAUAAACAACAUUUGGACAAUAACUAUAUAUAAUUAAACCAAAAGUUAUAAAUUAAAUUUGAAAAUGAAUAGUAGGAGAACAAUAUCGUAUUGAACAAGCAUUUAAAGGAAUGUGUAUAUAAACAUUUUCCUAUAUCUAAAUUAAUAAGUUAUAGCUCUCUUUUAAGUUUAAUAAGUUCCGUUUUCGGAUCAGUUAAAUCUAAAAUUGACUCCUUGUAAGAUCCAAAUGUUUGAAGGGCUUAUUAGGAUGAUUAUGAUUGCAAUAUGGUAUCUUAUUAAUUUCUUUUAUGUAUUUUUUUUUUUAAGGAUUCCUUUAUGUAUUUUAAUAGACCAUUGUGAUCUAGUUUUUGAUAAAUAUCUUAUCGUCUUUAGUCUAAUAUUUAAUUAAACCUCAUUUUAUUAAUUCCAUUUGUGUGCUUAUUUUUUUUUUUAAGCUAAUAAAAAUAUAUAGAAGAAAAGAAACAAGAACAAAAAGAGAAAGGGAACAUAGACCAAAACCUUCUCAAACUAAAAAGAUAAGCAAAAAGUUGGGGGCAAAACGCCAAACCCAACAAAGAGUAGAAGAAAAGAUAAAAAAAAAACAUGCAAACCAAAAGGAAAAGAAGAAGAGAAAGAAAUGAAACAAACUCAAAGCAAGAUCAUGAGUUAUUAAACUUCAUAUUAAAUUAAUUCAAUGUGUGUGUGAGUUUCAUAGUUAUUUAUCAUUUCCUACAUAUUUAAUUAAGACUAAAUUACACCAAUGGUCCUUUAAUUUUUGAGUUUUUCUAUUCACACCCUAUAUAUUUCUGGUUACAUCCAGUUUUUUUUAAAAAGUUUUUGAUAAUACCAAAAUUGUCCUUUUAUAUAAAUUUUCUUAAAAUCUUGAUUUCAUUCAUUGUCACUCUAAAAUUCCACUCUCUUUCACCCACCAACUAUCAAACAAUCCUGAUGUUCAAUUAAUCUCUAUGGAAGAUUAAAGAGUGAAUCAAAACAUCUUUCAUUCAUACUCGAUUGCAUAUAAAUAAGUGCAUUUUUUCUUCUUUUUCAAUAGCGCUGGUUUCAAUUUUCUUCUUCUUGUUCAACUGCACUGUACGACAGUUUCAGUUUUACAUCGUUGAGGUUAACUUAAAUUCAGUUUAAGUAGGUUCAUGUAAAUUUUGUUUGCAUAAUCUACUUAAACUUAGUUUACAUAACCUACUUAAACUGAGUUUAAGUAUGUAUACUUAAACUCAGUUUACAUGAGCUACUUAAACUAAGUUUACACGAUCUACUUAAAUUGAGUUUAAGUAUGUACACUUAAACUUAGUUUACAUGACCUACUUAAAAUAAGUUUACAUGUACAUACUGAAACUGAGAUUAUGUAGAAUCAUUGAACAAGGUUGAACUUUUAAAUGUACACUUAAACUCUGUUUACAUUACCUACUUAAACUGAGUUUAAGUAUGUACACUUAAACUCAGUUUACAUGACCUACUUAAACUGAAGAGAAAAUUAAAUUUUAUGGAAGGGUAAUUUUGUCAUUUUGGGGUGCAACCAGGAUUAAACAUGGUGUAAUUAGAAAAACUCUUAAUUUUUAAGUUUAUAAUAGAUAGGUCAUUUUAAGUUAUUUUGAUCAAACAUAAAUUUUUAAAUUUGUAAACGUUUUCAAUUUAGUCGGUUUUGUUAACCAUACAUUACAAAAACAAUACGUGGCAGUUAAGUGUGUGGAUUUUGAACAUGAUUUAAGGUUAAAUUUGUCGUAUAACUGAGAUCAAGACUAAGACAUGUACACAAUAAUAAACUACUACCUCCGUCCCUAAUUAUAAGACCCUUUUGAAAAAAAAAAUUGUCCCUUUUUAUAAGACCCAUUUGCUAUUUCCAACUACAUUAAUUAUUUUUUUACAUACAUGCCCCUAUUAAAUAUACAUAUUUUUCUUCAAUCAACAAUAAAUAAUAUGUUGAAAACAUAAAUCAUCUCUCUCUUAAAGGAUAAAAUUGUAAAAACAAUACUAAUUACAAACAUAUUUAAUACAAAUAUCCACUAUCUUAAUUCCCGUUAUUUUUUCAAAAGGGCCCUAUAAUUAGGGACGGAGGUAGUAUAAACUACUAUUUUAUUACCAUUUACAUGCUUUUACCAAGACACGAACUUGUGAAUAAUGAUUUAAAUCUUUCAAUUUAACACAAUCCUUUGUUUGAAUUUUUGUUUUGUAUCCCAUUGUUUUGAAAGAUAAUAUGUAGCUAUGAUAUGUGCAAAUGUUCUUAUAUAGAGUUUAAAUCAACCACUUGAUGCAAAAAUCAUAAUGCACGAAAGAAGGAAUAAGCCCAAAAACAAAAAGGCGUGGAAAAAGAAUUACUAAAAUUACAACUAAAUUGAAGUCGAUGAGAAAAUUCACGAAUCAAUGGAAACUGGUUUUUUUUUUCAUACUCCUUUAAACCAUAUCAUAGCAGCAAUAAACUCAAUCAUCAUUUUAUUUCUAAACACCUCUAAAAUAUACCAAUCAAUUAGGUUUUUUUUCUAGCAAGCAUAUUUUCUUCAAUUGAUUUUUCAAAAACUGGUUUGUAAAACAAAUGAAAUCACUGUCUAGUGGCAUUAGUUAGGCAAGAGAAUUAUUUACAAAUGGUAUUUUAUUCAGUUUCAGGAUUCUACAAAGACAAUGUAAAUGUGACAUGUAAAUGAAUAUUUACUUCUAUGAUUCAGUUUUGUUAAUUGGUAUUACACUUUUUAGUGAGAGCUAAAAUUUAUGGUUCGGGUUUUUCUGGUACAAUAUUUAUACAAGAUUGUUGUUAGCUUUAUUAUAUUUUUUUUCUUUCAAGUUUCCCAAAAUGUGUGGCACAUUGUAGAGUUCAUCUUAACACCAGCUAAGCCGAGACAAAAAAAUCUUUUUUUAAAAAAAAAAAAAAAAAAAAAAAAAACACCUUCAGUACUGGAAAUUCAUCCCCAGAAUUUAUUUAUGAUAACCAUAAAGUAUACAAAAAUACUCAAUGAAAUCAAGGAGAAGUUAAGUGGGAAAGACAUAAAAGAAACGCAAACAUGUGUAAAUCACAACCAUGAUACCAUUAAAAACUAAACCAAGUGUAUAUGUCUCACACAGAUCACAAGGUAAGUCUACACACACAAAAAAAAUCCAUCAAAACACAUAGAUGAUAGACUUCCUAUUAGUGUAUUACAUACUUGAACUAGUAAACUGUUAACUCAUCCCCAAUCAAGACUUCCAAACUAAAAUCUUAAUCUUCGGCAAAUUACGGUUAACUUUCAAAUUGUUGAGUUCAACGAAUUGCUAUGUUAUGUAAAACCGGUUCCCUUUCAAAUUGUUGGUAUGGUAAGGUUAGUAUUUUCAAGUGAAUCAUAAUUGUUGCACCCAUCAGAUAUAAGCAAGUUUUUAUUAAAUGAGAAGAAAUAGUCUUAUUGGGAGUUUAUAAGUAUAUAAGAAAUUUUUAAACAAGUUUUUAUUAAAAAAUGCAAUCACUUUCAUAAUUUAAAUUAAAUUGUAUUUUUAAAUUAAAAAUUACUUCUAAAAUGCUUAUGAACUUGUUCUAAUUUCGGUGUCACCUAUUUCAGAACUGGUUAAAAUGCUUUCCCGGAACUGGAUGAGAUCAAAAUCAUUGGGAUAUGGAUAUGCAAUAUCACAUUAGUGGACUAACCCUCUAGCUUGUUUAGGAACUUGUUCUAAUUUCAGGGAUGGUUACAAUCAUUACUUCUAAAGUGGUCGUCAGGUAAUACAAUGUUUUGAAAGUGUUGGAGUUGUGGUGAUAUGAUUGGCGUGCCUUUUGAUGAAUUUGGAGAAGAAAUUCAGCUUUUAGGGAGAACUUGCUUUCAGCAUAUCUGUUGUAUUUUGCUUCUGUGGAAUAAACAAUGAGUUUAGUGUGAGUUUAGUGUUGGUGUGUGGUCCUUGUGUAAUCAGUCAGUUGCUUAGUCUGCUCGGGAGUGUAGGAGGGCCUGGGGCGGAUUUAUUGCACAAUGUAGUGGGUGCGUAGUUAAAAUAUUAAAGCACCUCUUUGCAAGAGGCAGCAUUGAUGUUGGUUGUCAAGUCUAAAUCUGCAAUAUUCUGCAUGUUCUGUAUGGGGUUAUGCUUUAUCACUUCUGUGUCGGAGAGUUUGGAGGCUUUCUCAUGAUGUUUAGUGGCAUAUGCACGAACAAGCAAGCAACUUGCAGUAGCAAAUCAUUCCCACUUAGCACGAACUUUCACUUUUCAUGAUGAAUUACUAACAUUAGGCUCAACUUGCUUAACAAUGGCUUGAGAAAGAACAUGAGAGGUACAUCAUAGUCAUAUCAUGAACAAAUUAUGUUUUAGAAUAUUGCAAAUUUCUGUUACUCUAAUUGAAAUCCAAACCAUCACCACUUAUCUCAACGCCCUUAAUUUAACUACUAUUGCUUGUCAUCUUGAGGCAUUGAAUUGAGGCAUGUGUUUGCAAAUAUCUGAAUUGAAUUUGAACAUUUCAAACAACUCCACAAGUUUGUUAUCUAAAUGUAACAAUGAUGUUAAUAUCUAAAUGCAACUAAUAUUGGUAACAAUAAAUUCAGGUUUAAAUUUUUUGAAUCUGGAUAAAUGUUUUUCCUUAGGACUUGGCCAUUGCAAGGAUACUUACAGCUUGACAACCUAGCUAACAUUGGCCACUAAAAAAGAUUUGUAGAUUUUAUUAUUGCAUGGUGUAUUGAUUCUUGGGAUAUUGCAGUCCCAAAAAUUGAUUAAUUUUAUUAAAUUAAAAUCAAUUUUUUGUAACAACAAUAUAGCAAAAAUCAAUAUACCAACCAAGUGGACGACACAAAGUAAUUGGGUCCAAGUAGCUACAAUGAAUUGUAACAUAGACGAAUACUAUUUUAUAAGUAAACUAGGUGUGUGAUGUAAGUUUUUAUCGAUGUGGGACUCUCAAGAGUGCUAUAAAGUGGGUGGAACUUUCUUUCUCUCGUUUUUUUCGCCAAGAUGUAUGUUCUUUUUCAUUCUCAAUUCAAUUUAAUUCUCUUUUCUUAGUAUUAUUAUUAUCUCAAUACUUAUAUAGGUUCAUUUAUUCAGUAUAGAAACUAUAAGCCUUUUCAUUAUCCCAUUGAUUUAAGUCAUGGCAUUUUAUAUCAAACCAGAUCCAAAGUUUCUAGCUAUUUUUUUGGUCUUUGUGCAGAGAAUAUGUUAGAAUGAUGAUGAUACUUUUUUAGAUGCACAUGAAGCACCGUCGCAUUUAACAAAACCAUUUUAAAUACAUUAUGUAUUUCCCAUGAUCAUAUUAUAUGGUCCAAGUCUUCAACUUAAGUAACUAGCACAAAUAGAGAGAUGACGUCGUACGAGGAAGAAGAUGCAGCAAUGACGGGGUUACAAAUGGCAGCCAAAAGCAGCGACCGCAUGGAAUAUUAACGCUCUAUAAGGUGGAGACAGCAUUGGGGUUAUGUCACAGAAGCCGACGAUCCUUUUAAUAUUGGUGAUCUUCUUAAAUGCAUAUGUAUUCAACAAACAUCAAAGACCUAGCAGGAAUAGAGGAACUGUCACCACUGAUAUAGUUGACAAGAGCUUCUUGGAGCAUGUGGUUGAGAUAUGAGAUGCAAGAACUUGUAUUCUUUUUUGUUCUAUCUAAGUUAGGUUUGGCAAAAUUCUGACAUUACAUCUUGGGCCACAAAUUCAUCGUCCGGACUGAUGAGAAGAGUCUGAAGGCACUUACGGACAAAACUACUCAAACACCUGCGCAACAAAGGUGGCUUCACAUGUUACCUGGCUUUGAUUUUGUGAUUGAAUAUAAACCCGACAGAGACAAUAUAGCAUCCGAUUCUGUAUCCCGCUCAUUCAUGAUGGCUUUUUCAAACUAACAAUCUCUAUUGCUGCAACAAAUGCAUCAGGCCAUUGCUGCUGAUGUUAAUUUAUCUUCUUUAAAGACACAAUGUGCAGAUGGUACACAACUUGAUUCACAUUAUCAGGUGCAGCAUGACUUGCAUUUAAUGUUAAUUCCCUCGGUAGCUUUCUUUAUUUACAGCCUAUUUCCCUUUGUAAUGUGAUAUAUAAGAUGAUAUCGAAUUUGUUUGCUAAUAGAUUGGAGGGGUGCCUAGAUAAAUGUGUAUCCUUGGAGCAAUCAGCCUUUACUGAAGGAAGCUCGAUUAUGGAUAACGCACUUAUUGCUCUAGAAAGUAUCCUUGCUAUGAAAAGGAAGAUGGAGGGGUAAGCUAGCCCUCAAAAUUGAUAUCAAUAAAGCUUAUGAUCGUGUUGAUCUCGAACGGAUGGGAUUUGAUGAUAAGUGGAUUCAAUGAAAAUAAUUAUUUAAAAAUCAAAUUAUUCAUAAAUAAUCUAGCAAGCCAACUCAGAUUUUUAAGAAAAAAAAUUGAAAAAGGACCAACCUUUUAAUGAUAAAGAAGAUAAAAGAUAAGAUAAAGGAACCAAGUGAGAAAAAAAAAUAAAGGGCAAUAAGAUUUUUAAGAAUUAAUUAAACAUAAAAUUUUGAAAUGACAAAUAACAAAAACAUAUUUCUGAAAGGAGAGACAAUAAGAUUUUUAUUUGGUUUAAUUAUAUACAGUCAUCAUUGUUGAUGUGUUUUGGUUCUACAAAACUGACAUUUAUUUAAAAAUGCAAUCACUUGUAAUUCCCAAAAACAACCAAAACAAUGACCUAUUAUAAAAUGGUCAAAACUUUGGGACAACAAAAGUAUUAGAUUGGGUCCCCAACUAUGUGUUAAUAAGUGAUGUACACUCUUAUUUUAUAAGUAAAACUUAGUGCCUAUUUUAACGUAUACUCGAUGUGGGACUUGUUGUGGUAUAUUACAUACCUUAAGAGAAAACCAAAGCACAAGGUUACAGCAGAAGAAUAAACUCCAAUAUCUAAAGGAAAUAAGUGUCACACACAUUUAUUUCACUUAUAUAUAGAAAUAAGUAUCUCACAUGUUCUCUCUACAAAGAUGAUUCAUUCAAGAUUCCAUCAUUAUUUUAAAAAUAUAAGUGUGAAAGCUUCUGUCAAUCAUGCAUACUUCUUUGCUGAUGAAUUCUUUAUACUGAUAAUUAUAGUGAUCUGGGUUUCUUUCUGGUUAUAGUGAUUGUACGCGGUGUUAGUGAUUGAAGUACAAUAUUUUUAGCAUGUCUUAGUUUCUUAGUUUAGCACAUACCAAUAUAAUAAUGAAUUAUGGUACGAAGUAUUUGUCACAUGCCAGUUUCAAUAGAAAAAAGGCUUGAAAUGGUGAGAUUUCUGUGGAUUUUUACAGUGAAAUGGUUAUGAUUCCUUCUCGUAUGAAAGCAAAUCUCGUCUAACAGUGAUCUCCUGCUGACAACCCACUUCACCGGAUCAACAACUGAUAUCAUCUUCCUUGCUUGGAACACAGUACACGCCUACACGGUUACCUAGAACAGUCAGGGUUGGAGAUUGAUCCUCGUCUGCUGAAGAAGAGAGUGGAGGAAUCUGAGUAGGAAGAGUUCCAUGAUACAUCUUGAGCUUCGUGAUGUGAAAUACAGGGUGAAUCCAAGCAUCCGACAUUAAGAGAAGUUCGUAGGCCACGGGGCCAAGGGCACGCAUGACCUGAUAAAAGUAUUGAAGUAUGAUUGCAUUCUCUUGGUUAAGAAAAUUUCGUUAGACUUUAUUCCAGCAAGAUGAUAUGAGGUAGAUUAUGCUCAAAACAGUAUUAAUUUUGAGAGCACUAUUUAGCUACUACAAUUCUCGAUAUCAUAUGAUUCAAUAAGGUAAGUAUCAGCUUUAACAUCUACUCUUCCUACAGGUUCAAUAUUUUUUAAAACACCUUUUUACUGUGUUUUGAUUUUUAGCAACUAACCUACACUGAAAUGAUUCUGAUGCAAGCAUUAGUACGUUUUAUCUCUAAGAUGGUUUGUGUGAUACAAUUAUGACCUACAAUACUAAUAUAGGGCAUGAUAUUGGCCACCCACCACUUUUCUUAGCAACAUCCCCGCAUUCGAGAUAAUAGAUUGAAGAUCCGUAUAACUUUUUUCCGAGGCAUAUUCUUUUUCAUUCCUCUCCUCACUAGUAUAAGACAUGUCUUUAAUCCCCACUGUGAUUGUAGGAAUAGGACCACUUUCAAUCCAACUGCUUUUGAACAACAGAGCUCUUCGAUUGUGAUGUCUCUUCUGAUAUUCAUAUUUCUCUGAAUAGGGGAAUCUUAGGCGGUGAGGAGCUGAAUUGUGUUGGAGGUUGUGGUGAGCAAGAAAAAACAUUGCAUUAAUUUUUUAGCGUUGUUAUCUUUUUAAGGUGUGGUUGGAUUUGGCCCAUUGGAUGAGGAUUAAGGCAGUAUACCAUAAGAAUUGUAGUUAUCAUCUCAAUUCUUUCUUCAGAAUUGUCCAAGCUAGAAAAGAGACAUAAUUGGGUCUAUGGAGUACUUGGAUAAAAAAAAAAAUCGACUGAUACUAUUUUGAAACAGGUUAGAAUGCUUUUCUGUUUUAGAUAUACAAUAUCGCAGUGGUGGACUAAACCUUUAGUUUGUUUAGGACUUGGCAUCGAGUCAGAAGACUAGGGGAGGUUUUGUGUAAAUAUCUCGUAUCUGACUCAGGCUGGCAUUGUAGUCAGGGAUAGUUAAAAUCAUUACUUCUGAAGUGGGAGGAAGGCAAUGCAAUGUCUUGAAGUUUUUUGGAGUGGUUGUGGUGUGAUAAGUCAGCGUAUCUGGUGUAUUUUUCUUUUGGGUUUUAAACAACGAGUUUAGUGUUGAUGCGUUGUGCUUGUGUAGUCACUCAUUGCGUAGACUGCUCCAGACUGUAGGAGGGCUUGAUUCUGGUCUUCUUGUGGAGAGCCUGAGACGGUUUUGUUGCGCAAUGUAGUGGGGGCACUCCCUUUGAAGCAGGUGAUUUUUGCAUGAAGCUUGGUGAUAAAGGUGCGUAACCGAAAUAUUGAAGCAUUUCUUAGCAAGAGGCAGCUUUGGCGAGAAAUUAGUCUAGCUUUGAUUGAUGUUGGUUGUCAAGCCUAAACCUGCAAUAUUCGUAGGUUCAUCAAAUUUCAAAGCACAUUUCAUUUCAGAGUCAAAAGUUAACAACAAUUUCAUGUUUAGAUCUUGUUUCUCCUAGGAAGAUUUCCAUUGUUACGCCACAUUCAUAGCGCACCGAAUUUAGAUUUUCAAUCAUAUCGACAAUGACAUGCAAGGUUUGGUUCUCUAGGUGGUAGCAUUUAGCAUGCACAAAUUAUAAAUUUGUGCACCAUGCACAAGUUACUUUCUCUUUCAUUGAUAACCAUUGAUAUAAUAUUAUUAUAUAUGAACGGUUCAUAUCAAAAACUGGUUACGUGUUACCAACUUUUUGUCACUAUACCUACAACAAAAAUAAUGACCCCACCUCCGCAUUGUUUAUAAUAAAAGUUGGAAAUAAGUUUUUAUGUGUUACAAAUUAUUUUAACCGUGUAAAUUCAGCUUUCUUUUUAAUAGGAUUAUUUCUUUGAUUAACGAAAAAUAAACUAUUAAAUUGUAAGAAAAACUAUUAAUAUUAUUCAUAUGUUCUUUAAACAAAUCUUCAUAUUCAUCAAUGUUUUCUUCCUAAAAAUUAGGAUCUUUAGGAAAACCACCUUAACAGUACCACAUCCUUUUCUUAAUAUUUGCAUCCUCUUAUAAAUCAGGAUUAUUCAGAAUCAUUUUAAAAUUGUUUGACAAGAUUAUUUAGAAUUACUCUGUUUCAAUUUGCCACAACUUCCUAAAGCUGUUCACUUGGGAGGAGCUUUCUCGUUUUUUUUUUUUUUUUUUUGCAAAGAAGCAUGCGUACAUCUUAGAGAAGAAAAUUAAACCAUUUUUACUGCCCAAAAAAAUAAAAACUGAAAUAUUUCGCUACAGUAUACGUUAGUAAUUUAGGCUCUGUUUGGUAAAAAUAGCUUUUAGCUGAUAAGCUAGCUGAUAACUUUUAGCUUAUAAGCUAACUGAAGUGUUUGGUAAAAAUAGCGGUUCAACUAGCUGAUAAAUGUAAAAUGACAUAAAGGGUAUUCUUAAUUCAUAAUAAAAAUUAUAUCAUUAAUUUAAGUAUUUGUAAUUUUGUAAACUAAUUUUUCUUUAAAAAAAAAUACUUUAAAUUUAUUAAUUUAAUAUAUCCUAUGUAUUAUAAAUUAAAUUAAAUUUUAUUCACUAAAAUUUUAUCUUAUAUUUAUUAUCAUUUAAAUGUUUCUACUUUAUAAAGAAAAUAACAUUUACCUCAAAAACAAAAAAAAAAGGUAGCACUAAUAGAGUAAUACUAAUAAUAGAGAAUAAAGAAAAUAACACUUACCUCAAAAAAAUAAAAAUAAAAAGUAACACUAAUAGAAUAAUAGUAUUUUGUUUCGUAAAAAAAAACGAAGGUAUAUAUUUUUUCAAAAAAAAAAAAAAAGGUCAGCUGAUAUAUAUACAAAAAUUGGAAUAAAGGGAUAGUAGUCUUUAUUACGUAGCUUAUUAUAAAAAUUAUAAUGGAUAAAAAUACAAUUUAAAUGAAAUAAUAAGGGUAAAAUUGGAAGAAAAAGUGAGAAGCUAUAAGCUCAAACGCUACUUGGAAUAGCUUCUGAAAAAUAGCUUAUAAGCUCGUGAAAUAAGCUAUAAGCUCAUGGUGAAAAAGUGUUACCAAACAGAGCUUUUUUUGUCAAACGAGCUUAUAAGCUAUAAGCUAAAAGCUAAAAGCUCUUAUUUUGGGUUUACCAAACAGAGCCUUAGUAUAUUAAAUGCUGAACCCACCAGCCGUACCAUCGUCCUUCCUUUUUUUUUUGUUUACAAAGCUAAAGUAAAAGAGAAAGAAAAGAAACAAAAAGACAGAAAAAAAAAAAAGAAAAGCCUAAGCUCUAGGGAAGAAAGUUCUCAUGGCGUCGCUUCUAAUCAAAGGGAGUAAGUCGGUCGGAGGAGUAGCAUGAAUAGAAAGAUCUUCAUUGGAGUUGGCCCCAUGCUUCGCCAUGAAGUCGGCGCAUUGAUUUCCUUCACGGAGGCAAUGAUGAAUGUUGAAGUUUCUUGAGGACAAGAGAUCUUUUAUAUCAUGGAUUAAAACCGCAUAAACAUGGUAACUUGGAACAUGACCAAUGAUGAGUCUUAUGGAGAGCAGAGAAUCUGAAUAGCACACCAAAUCUUCUAUGCCCAUUGCCACUGCUAGACGUAGACCUUGUUGAAUUGCGGUGAGCUCGGCAAACAAGAUGUCAGUUGAUAUAGGGAUGAAUCCGAAGAAUCCCGAGAGGUAGUAACCUGCAGAAUUACGGAUAAUCCCACCGAACCCCGCUCGUAUAGGUACACCUAAACAACUACCGUCCACAUUAAGCAUGUGACCGUUGCAGCUUUCUUGAUUCCAUCGAACCAUGCGGUCUUGUUGUAAGGUAGAAACAGUUUGGAAAGCGGUCUCGAUGGAAUUUGCUGUGUCGUGAAUAAGAAAGCUCAACUGAGUGAGAGACCAAGUUUCAUGAUUUAGGCACAUCAAAUUACGGUGUCGCCAUGUCCACCAUAGGCCAGCAAGGAAGGUGGAGGGACGAGUGCCGUUUGCAUUAUUUUUUAACCAAUUAUGCACACAGCUUUCCGUAAAGAACUCUUGGUCAAUGAAACCGAUAUUAUGCCAGAUUACGGAAGAGAACCUGCAGUCCCGAAUACAGUGCAAGAUGGUUUCCUCACUUUCGCCGCAUCUCGAACAGGUAGCAACAGGUGAUAUGUUAUGGUGCUGCAGCAGUGAUAGCGUAGGCAUAGCAUUGUGACACGCAAGCCAAAUAAGCAGCUUGACUUUUUCAGGACUCUUCAAUCUCCAUAUCCAAGACCAAGAUAAAUUAGUUGGGGUAUAUGAAGAGGGAUUCGAGUUUUGCAGCAGCCAAGCGUACCCACUUUUGGUCGUGUAAGCGCCGUUUUUGUUGUGGCUCCAUAUGAGAGCAUCAUCCACCAUUUCAUUGAAAUUCAUAUGAGUGUUAUUUAUGUAAUCAGCUAUUUCCUAAGGGAGAGUAGUAUAGAGAGCCUGAGUUUGCUGCCCGUCGAAAGUGAAAACAUAUAUUUAGAAUAUAAAUAUAAAAAUCAUUUUAUUAAUUGAAACAUAUAUAAAGGACUUAAAGGAUUGUACCAAAAAAAAAAAAAGACUUAAAGGAUUGCGGAGUAAUUUUGCCUUAAAUCUAUGUUAAAUUUUUUUUUUUUUUUUUAGAUUUAAAAAAAUUUAUAAUUUUUUUUUAUAAUGUUGUGAACAUAAUGACUAUAUGUAAUGUUUGCAAAGAUUAUUUGAAAGUCUACGGACACUUAAUUUUUUUUACACAAAUUUGAAUUUGAAUUUAAAAGUCAUUAGAAUUGUGUGCACAACGAUUCAAACAUACCCACUUUUCUUACGACGAUGGAAGAAAUAAUUUGCGAUAUGUUAUAAGGAUAAUUUUUUUAUUUAAUCCAGUAAAAAAUAUAUGAAUUAGUUGGAGAUGAGUUUCCUAACUUAAUGAAAAUAAGCUAUAUCAAGAAAAUUUAAAACUUGUUGAACCUUUAGCAUUAAAUAAAAUAAAAAAACUUGUUGAACUUUCAAACCAUGUCAAGAUAAUGCGAAAGUAAGUGUUAUAACUAUGUUUAAACUUUGAAGUGCAUCCAGAAUUCAGAUCAUGUAAAGUGAAGAGCUUUCCCAAUUAGGACUCUUCACUUUGUCCUGAUUGACUUCAAAAAUGAGUCCUGAUAAUGGUAAGAAUUUAAUAAAUUGGGGUACAAAAUGAGUCCUGAUUGACAAUGCUUUUGUCUAACAUUGUAAUUACCAAAAACUUAUUUAACUAUAUAAAAGAUGAUAUGAAUUCAAACCAAGAUGGGUCAUUGUUGAGGUUCACCAAUGUUUGGGUUCUAUAUUAAGGGCUGCUAAUUUACACACGCACCUAGAAACAUAGGGAUUAACUUAGACCAUUGUUAAACAAGUGAAUCUAAUGCUAGUAAUUGGUCUAUAAACUUCUCUUUUUUUUUAUAAACUCAUUUGAUUCUUGGGAGGAUGCAAUCGAUUGUUCAAAAGUUCAUGCUAAAAUGGUAAGAAUUUAAUAAAUUGGGCUAUAAAAUGAGUCAUUGAUCGAUGAUACUUUUACCUAACAUUACCAAAAAAACGUAUUUAACUAAAUAAAAGAUGAUAUGAAUUAAAUUCGACGUUCACCAAUGGACCCUUUAGUUUGGUGUCUAUUACUAUAUUAGGGGGGCUGCUAUAUCAAGUCGGAUGAUAAUGAUAUUUACAAUUUAUGAUUUGGAAGAUCUUUAUUUCCCUUGAAUUUAAUUGACCAAAUUGUGAAAUUAUUUACCAAAUUAACUCACAUGAUCUACUACAAUUUAAAUGCCAAAGUGUAAGGGAGAGAAACAACAUGAAUCUUGAACUAUAUAUGCCAACAUGAAAUCCAAAUUUAUAGUUGAUACUCCUAAAAUUCAAUACAAGCAAACAAUCUAAAUGGCGAAACCAUGAAGCAUGAAGCAUUUAAUAUUGUUGGGGACUCAAUCUCAUAUUGUUGUUGUCCCCAUGAUUUGACUAUUUUAUAAUGAUUAUUGUUGUGUUGUUCUUUGCUAUUACAAGUGAUUGCAUAAUUAUGUAAAUGCUUCUAUUGUAAUGGUAAAGGAUAAAUGCAACAAUGAUUGUAUAUAAUUAAAUCAACUAAAAAUUAAAUUUUAUGAUAUUUUUGGUAUAGUCCUUAUACUUAAUUAUCUUAAUUUGACUUGUUAUUCUAGAGGCCCUUUAUUUUUUUGGCUAAAUUGAAUAUGCAUCUUAUUUGAUCUCUUAAAUAUGCAUCUGUUGGUCUCAAUCUGUUAAUUUUAACCCAAAAUGUAUAAAGUGUAACAAAAUUAUAGAUGGUCCACUCUAAAUCUUAUUAAUCUAUUUAAUUUUAAUCAUUUGAUCAUUUUAAAACAAAAUAAAUCAUUUCAUCAUACAAGACCAUUAAAUCUAAUAAUAAACCACUAAGAGUAUCUACAAUAGAGACAUCCAUUUUUUUUUCUUAAAUGGAUCCCACUAAUUAACUAUAAAUAAUUUUAUAUCAUUAAUAUCAAUUUUUUAAUAUUAACAGGAGUGAGGGUCCUCUUGUCAAAAAAAAAAAAAAAAGUGAGGGUCCCGCUUAAAAGUGGAGGUGUUAAGUAAGAUCACGGAUCUUAUAAGACUUUAAAAAAGAUUCUCUCCAAUAAAGUACCUAAUAGAUAACGGGUCUUAAAUGGUUAAGACCCUUCCAUUGAAGAUGGUCUAACACAAUUUUUCUUCCAUUUUCUUUCUCUUCUAGCUUCUAUUUCUUCGUCAUCUUCAUCAACUUAAAAAAAAAUAAAAAAAUAAUCCAGACAAAAAAAUCCAAACACCGAAGCAUUAAAUCACUACACGACCAUCUUCGUCUUAAUCUCUUAUCUAACUACAGGGUCAUCUUCAACUUCUUCUCUUCAUACCUUCCCAUAAUUAGAAAAAGCCAGAAGAAAAAAAAAAUCCAAUUUUGCCAAACCAUGUCCUCUAAGGAAAUUAAAUAUACAAUUUUGCCCAACCUAAACACCAAAACACUAAUUUGUUGUAUAUUUUAGUGGUUUGUUCACACACUCUAUGGGAAUUAAAUAUACAAUUUUGGUUUUUUUUUCUUUUUCUUUCUAACUUGAGUCCUUUAUCUUCUUAAUAAUUAAAAGGUUGGUACUAUUUCAAAAAAAUUCUUAAAAAACUGCGAGGUGUCAUGCCAUGUCAGAUUAUUUAUUAAUAAUUUGAUUUUUAAAUAAUUAUUUUAAUUGAAAAAACCAACCCAUAAAUAAUAAAUAAUUUUCUUCAAAUCAUCAAUAUCAUCCUCUUUUUCUUCAAACCCAUAAAAUUCAAUCAAAAUCCCAAACCUCCAAAUCGUAUUGUCUCAAAUAAAAAUCUAGAAAACACCAACAUUACAUAUCUUCAUCAACUUUUCUCUUAACAUUCAUACUUUCAUGCAUAGAGAAUUCUAUGUUCUUCAAAUCUGAAAAGAAGCUAAUUCUAUUCAUAAAUGAAAAACUACAUUAGUAAAACGAUCAAAGAAAUCAAACCUUGGAUCGCGGCAAAAGCUCCACACAAAUGGUUCAGAUUUUCAUUUUGGGUUAUAUAGAGAAAGAGAGGUAAACUAAUACUAAGUUACUAACAUUGAAAAUUUAUUCGUUGUGGGCUAUGUAUUUAUUUGUGGUCCUUAUGAUAAAUAAAAUAUUUUUGGCUUGGCAAUAAUGGAAACUACUUAAAAAAUCCAUACAAUACAUGCUGAAAUUAGGGAUAGUGUGAAAUUGAUCAAUUUGGUAUCUAUAAUUCCCUUCUGAAGCCGUUUUCAAGAAGUAUAUACUCACUAAUGCUUUCUCCUCCACCACAUUAUUUCUUCUAUAUAUAUAAAUAAUAUGAAGUUCCAAGGAGAAAAAACAAAUAAACAUAUUUGUUGUCUUGGCUUUAUUUAAAUAGAAAAAACACUAUCCCCGUGAGCUUAGUUCAGUUGAUAGGGAUAUUACAUAUUAUAUGCAGGGGCCGGAGUUCGAAUCCCGGACACCCCACUUCUCCACAUUAAAAUGUGUGAGCUCUAGCCAUUAUGCUACUAGACAAAAAAAAUAAAAAAAUAGAAAACAUUAUAACAUUCAUGCAGGGGAAUUAUUAAGAUUGGUCUGAUGAUUUGAUCACACAAAUAUGAUUUGAUCAUACAAAUCUAGUUAGGAUAUUAAAACUGAGUAGUAGCAGGAAGAAGAACCUAUAAGGAUAUAACAAUCCAGAAAAAGAUUUACCUAUAACAAAGACCCUUGUAUACUUCCAUUCAAUAAAACAAACCGUUUGGAUUCAAUAUUUCCCUAAGGUAACGGUACAUUAAUCAUUUGUGUUAAUUAUGGGUGAUUGAUUUUUACAAGGUUUAUUGAUUCGGAAAUUAAAUGUUUUUAACAUUUAACUUUAAUCUCGGUACAUCUAAACCUUUCAAAAAUCAAAUCACCUAAACAACCUCAAUUUUUUAUUUUAUUUUUAAAUCACCUAUGUUGCCCAAGUCUUUGUAAUAGAAGACUUGUAAAUUACUUUCUUUAUUCCAUGACAUAAAAAAUGAGAAAGAUAAAUUAAAUAAUUGAAAAAAUAUAUAAUAAUAGAUAAUUAUUAAGGGUAUAAAAGAAAAAAUAACAUUGAAUGUAUCUUUAUAAAAAGAUUUAUAAUUUGAGGCAAUUUUUCUUCUUCAAAAUGACUUAUAAAUUAGGACGGAGGGAAAUAUGUUGUACCAAGUAAAAAUAUGAUAUAUGAUAGAUUAUUAUGUAGUUUGAUUUAUGUAACACAACCUUUAGCAGCAUAAUGCAGUUGACCCAUCAUCGCAAGGACAGACCUAGAAAUUUUAACUAGCCUAGGUAACACAUAUAUAUCAAGGCAUAAAUAUUCAUUUUAUAUGAUGAGCAUCAACAACUACUACUUCUAAUCAAAGAGAAUCUAUUUAAAUAAUGAUUAUACUAUAUGUUCCAACUAAGUUCUGAUGGUGAGAUGAAAAAAUAGCUAGAAAGUUGUUAUAAAUAUAGAGUUAUAUUGAGUUUUCUUCACCCCGAACAUCCCUAGUCUACUGGUUGUACUUGGGGCUUGGGUAGUUGUGUGUCUUGAGAGAGUUUACAACUUUUCCGUGCAAAAUCAAACUCAUUUUAUCUAACUAACAUUUGUGAAAUAGAAAAUGUCAUUUGCAUCUAACUAGGCUGUGUUAAAGGAUAUAAUGAUGUGAUCUAAAAAAUGUAAUUCUAUCCAAAAAUUUCUUUUAUCAUUAAAAUGAACAGCAUUUCAUUUUGACAUAUAAUGUUGAUAUUGAAUGGUUCAAAAUAAUUUACUCUAAUGGUGCUGACAACUAGCUUGUAGUUUUCCAUCAUCUUAUUUAGUCUCUUCAACUAUAUGAGUGCUGAUAGUUUCAGUAUUUCUGCUAGGUCUUUGAUAUCCCUUGAAGUCACUGCUUCGGGAUGCUCCUGCGUUCAUAACCUUGUCAUCGUUGCAUUCGCUUCCUUGAACACCACCGUCUCUCUAUUUGUGCAAGUCACGUAAGUUGAAGACUUGGACCAUAUAAUAUGAUAAUGGUAAAUACAUAAUGCAUUUAAAAUGAUUUUGUUAAAUGUGAUAGUGUUUCAUGUGCAUCUAAAAAAGUAUCAUCGUCACUGUCACAUACAUAAGAGGUGCACUGGUGUUGAAAUUCCUCUCAGACGUCUUCUUAAUAUAAGGUCUAAAAAAUAAUAUACAAAUUCUCAGCAUACGAAUACCUAUAAACAACAAGAAACUUUGGAUCUGUUUUGAGAUAAAAAGGUUAAUGGGAUAAUGAAAAUAUAUAAGCAUCUUCAUCCAAUUGGGACCCACCAUUGAGAUGAUAAUAAUACUAGGAAAAGAUAACUGAAUUGAGAAUGAAGAAUAAAUAUCUUGGAGAAAAAAACGAGCGAGUAGGAGAAAGAAGUUAUAACCACCUUGUAGCACUCUUCUUGAGUCCCACAUCGAUGAAUACUUAAAAUCAUACACCAAAGUUUACCUAUAAAAUAAUAUUAGUCUAUAUCUAUACUUCAUAUUAGUGUAACCGUUUGGAACCUAUUACUUUGUGUUCUUCAAUUAGAUUUUUCUUCAAACUUCCAAAAAAACAUUAAGUGGACAAAUCUUCUUUUUGAAGUCAAUUAGAUUUUUCUUCAAACUUCCGAAAAAACAUUACUCCCUUCAUCCCAUAAGAAAAAAAAAAAGCAUAUUUUUUUUCCUAAAAUAUAAGCAAAAAAGAAUUUAUUUUUUUUUUAGAUUUUUUUUGUUUAUUCUUAUAAAAUUAAAUGCAAAUUACAUUCAAUUUCUUUCUCUUUCAUUUUUUCUAUAAUCAAUAGUCAAUAAAAAUCAUUUUUACAUUUUCUUAUAAAUUUUUUUUCAAAGAAAACACAAAAAACUAUACAUUAUUAGAAAGAAAUAAAAUAAAAAACGAGUUAAAUAAAUUUUGGGUCCUAUAAAAAUCUUCAAAGUUUACAAUUCUAACUUGUGAACAUGGCUUGUUAUAUAGUUUAAGAUGUUUUCAUCUUGUAGUAUUCCUAAUUUUUUUUUUCUUUCUAAAACCAGGUAUCCUCUGCGCGCAAUUACAGAGACUAAUCUCUCGAAUAUUGUGGGAAUCAAAUGGACGGUAAGCUCUCCCAAAGAGUUUUAACGCUGUUGCAUGUCCAAUGCUGGAUUCGAACUCAGAACCUUAGUUAAGUUAGAAGAGACCCAUUUCAUCUCAUCUAAACGCUAUUGGAUAGUAGCAUUCCAAAUUAGUUCAAGUCUUAAAGUUUUCAAUCGCAAGAUUACUUAUAAAAUAUUGUAACAUAUGUUAUCAAAAUUAGAUGCCAUAAAUGUGUUCAGUGUAAUAAACUGUUAUCAAAAUCAAAAUCAGGGUAGUAAUUAAAAAGUUAAGCAAAUCCAAACACACUUUAUCUAACUAACAUUUGUGCAAUAGAAAAUGUCAUCUGCACAGAGGCUGUGUUAAAGGAUAUAAUAUAAUAAUGUGAUUUUCCAUUAAAAGGAUGUCUUAUUUAUUCUCUUCAACUAUAUGAGUGGUGAUAGUUUCAUGAUUUCUGCUAGGUCUUUGAUGUUUGUUGAAUACAUUAAGAGAAUCAUCGGCUUUUGCAACAUAGCAUGGACGUCAUCACAACCUUGCGCACACAACACAUAGGUCGUUGACCCAUUUGUCAAAUGACUCGAGUUGUAGCCAUGAUUCGGUUCUAUAAAUACCAAAAAGGCUAAGUUUUUUUCAAUCAUUCACUUAACUUAAAGAAUAUUUGGCGUUAAGUAUUUUGUCUAAGUUUACCAUUAUUAUGACUACCAAAGAACAUUUGACAUGUAGGCUUUGAGUAAUUUAUGUAUAUGUAUUUUGCGGACUUUGAACUUUAAGUCAUUUAUGACUAUGCAAUUUAUAACAUGUAUUUAGCUUUACUUUUGUUUUGUUAGAAUCCUCGAUUUUGAUUGCGAUUUUACGAUUUACGAUUUUGCUAUCCUACAUCUAUUGUACAAAAGUCCUUUAGUAAAAUCUUUUGAUUUUGAUUGCGGUUUUACGAAUCUCGAUUUUGCUAUUCCCUUUCGACCUGAAGUAAAGUCCUGAUUUUGACACCUUGCUAAAGAAUAAUAUAUACAAACUUUGGGUCUAUUUUGAUAUAAAAAGCCAUGACUUAAAAUAUUUGUAUCUGUUUGGACCCAAUUAUAUUGUGUUGUCCGCUUGGUGUAUUAUGAUAUUUGCUAUAAUAUUUGUUCAAAAAUAAAAUUGAUUCUAAUUAAUUAAUUUUUUGGGCAAAGAUUGUUGCAAAGAAUCAAUACAUCAAACAAUAAUUAGAGUCUACAAAUAUUUUAUAAUUGAUCAUUUGGUAUCUAGGCAAGUUACUUUUAAAAUGUGCGAGGUGGAAGAUUAUAUCCCAAAUUUUUAUGCUCCAUGGAUGCGAUAUAGAGCUUCUAUUUCGAGUGAAGGGCGCCAAUCAUUACCGGCUAUUCAGCUCAUGAACAAGAAACUUGGAAGCAUCACUCGUGCAAUUGUGCUUCCCAAGGCAAAAUUAUACUCUUGAUACUAUCAUUUGCUCUUUGUUUUCAUAUGAAUAUAUUACAAUGUUAUUAAAUUGGAUGUUCAAAAUCAUAGAUUGGUCAAUGUCAUUUGCGCAAUUGAAAAUAAGGAGAUCAAAACUGCGGUUUUGUCCAAAAAAAAAAGGACGAGAGCUGUAUUAAAGCCUCUAAUGUAUAUAAAAAAGAGUGUUGACACAUGUGCACCCCUAUGUGGCAAUACACCUCUUACACCCACACAAAAUCCUGACAUGUGGCAAGGAAGAGGGAGAGGAGAUGAAAGAGAAAAUGUGGUCGUAAGUUGAAUUUAUCAAAAUAUCCCUAGUGCAUGGGGUGUAUAAUGGGAUGUAUGAUUAAAGGGUGUUCAUGUAACAUUUUCCUAUAAAAAAAUAGAGUAAUGAUACAUAGACACCCUUGUAUACCCCAUGCAUUAGGAAGAGAAAAGAGGAGAGAAAAGAGAAAGUGUACUUUUGCGGGGUCUACGUGACUACGUGUCAGAUUUUUGUGUGGAUGUCAAAGGGUGUAUUGCCACCUAAGGGUGUCUAUUAAUCAUUACUCAAAAAAAUAAGAUGUGAAAUUUUAGCAAUAUUUUAGCCAUGACAAACAAUAAAGUUUUAGGUAUGGAAUACACAUUUAACAGUUGACAACCUUGAUGAUCCAAAAUGUAAUUUAAAUAAGUUUGUCACUCAUAAGGUAAACCUUGAUGAUCCAAAAUGUAAUUUUGUCAACUUAAAAGAACUUAUCAUCAACUGUAACAACAGAGUAUGUCAUCGAUUUUUCAUAUGACUGAAUGGUCCAUGACUACCCAGUAAAUUGAACUCAACUUUUAUAUCUAUAUCUAUAUCUAUAUGUAGUACAAAUUACAAUUCACAGCUUGUAUCAACUUGUGCUUGCAUAUCGGCAUAUCAGCAUGGUACUUAACAAGCGAUGAAAUAACAGUUUCAGUUAAAAAAAAAAAAAAAAAGCAGAACAUUAGAUUCUUGGAGAACCAACCAAUAUUGGUCCGUGACUACCAAGUAAAUUGAACUCAACUUCUAUAUCUAUAUCUAUAUGUAUUGCAAAUUACAACUCUCAGGUUAUAUAAACUUAUACUUGCAGACAUGCUAGGAGAUGAAAUUUGCACAUAACAGUUACAAAAUGGAAAAAUCAACAUAUCAGCAUGGUACUUAACAAGCGUAAACUCAACAUAUUUGAAUGAGUCUAUAGUUGUUAAUUGUCUACUUCCUUUAAUAUUCACUUCAUGCCUCAUACAUACAUCAAUCUAGUACAUAUAUAGCAUCAAGGCUGUGCAUAUGAUAGAAGGAAUCUAAGGCUUUGAGGCUGUUACAACAGAAACGCAAAUUACGGAAGGAAAAGGAAUUAUUGAAAGGGUGAAUCACCAAGUUUCAUAUAUAGCAUUCCCAUUGAAUGAGGACUUGAUGGGGUGAUUCAUCAGAGCUAGCCUUCCAAUAAAGUCAAUAGCCUUCCUGCUGCUUGUUGGAUUUGGAAUUGAAUUAGUAUUUCCUUUAGAUAUUGGAGUAUCUUCGGUCGUAACUUCCGCAUGAGUUUAGACUUGAAACUUCGGUUUUCUCUUCAGGCAUGUAGUAAACAACAACAAAUCCCACAUCGAGUAUGUGUUAAAACAUGUAUGAAUGUUUACCUAUAAAAUAAGGGUGUAUAUCAGAUAUUAAUACAUAUAACAACUAGGACCCAAAUUCAAAUUGUUGUUGUCCCCCAAAAUUUGACUAUUUUAUAACGGAAAAUGUUACAUAGACAUCCUUUAUUUCCAUACACCUUUGUACACCCCAUACAUUAGGAAGAGAGAAGAGUAGAGAAAAGAGAAAGUGUGCUUGUGCAGGGUCCAUGUGGUUACGUGUCAGAUUUUUGUGAGUGUCAAAGGGUGUAUUGCCACCUAAGGAUGUCUAUGUAUCAUAACUCUUUUAUAACAUGUCAUUGUUGUGGUUGUUGUUGGGCUUUACAAGUGAUUGCAUUUUUAAAUGCCUUGUAUUGUAAGAUACAACAACAGUUACAAUAAUGAGUUACAAUAAUGACUGUAUAUAAUUAACCAACUCAUUUUUUUUAGAAUAGUAUCUUUUGCAUUGUGUUGAUAAAAAAAAAUCGUACAAUUAAGAUUUGAAGUCUAAUAUUUAAUUCUCUUAAUUUAACUUGUUAUUUGUCAUUUUAAAAAAUUAUGUUUAAUUGAUUUUAAACAAUAUUACUCCAGAGGUUUUUUAUAUAUUUUUUUCUUACUUGGGUCCUUUAUCUUCUUAUUUUUUAAAUAAAUAUUUUCAUUGAAAAAAAAUACAACCUAGAAAAAAUAAAUAAUUUUCUUCAAAUUCAUCUUCAUAGUCAAUCUUCCUCAUCCUCUUUUUCUUCAAACCUAUAAAAUUCAAUCAAAAUCUUAAAUCUCCACAUUCUAUUGGCUCAAAAAAAAAUCAAGAAAAAACCAAGAUUACAUAUUUUCAUCAACUUCCCUCAAAACAUUCAUCUUCAACCAAAAAUUUGAAGAAAUAAUAUGUAGAUCUAGAACCCACAAAAAACCCUCGAUGCAUUCAUCUCAUUCCACCAAAAUAAAAGUCAUAUCAUUAAACAAAAAAUUCUUCUUCAUUACAAAAAAAAAUGGGUAUGGUGAUGAGAAAACUUUAAUCCUUGCCACAAAAUUGUGCUAAUGAACACGCAUAAUUGGGAAUGAAGUGAUGGUUAACCAAUUUGUAUUGUUGUUAAUUGAUAUGAGUAAUUAUAUUUUAUAGGUUCGAACAAGAUGAUCAAGAGUGAAGAUGAUGAUCAAGGUUUGGGAAAAACUUCACGCAUUAAUUAUAUUUUAUAUUUUAAUUAGGGUUUUCCAACACUUACGUACAAACCUGAAUCGAAGAAGAGAUCUAACAUGAAGAAACAAAAGUACCUAAAGGAUGAGAUAACUGGAGGUGACGGUAAUGGCGUGAUGAAAGUUGACGGCGGCGAUGGUAAUGACGUGAUGAAAGUUGACAGCGAUAUGGUUUGUUAACGGUGACACCGAUGAUAGUUGGUUAGUGAUGACGAUGGAUACGGCGUGAUAACUUGUGGUUUGGUUAAUGCUCCCAUGGUGUGCGUAAUGAAUGAGAUCAAGGGCGUGUUUGGAUGAGAUAGAUGGAUGAUAAUUUGUUGUCUUCGUUUCUCUAUUUCAAACCAUGGGAGAGAGUGAGGAGGAUUGUAACUCCGACGGCAAAGCAACAACGGCCGAUCCAUGGCUCCGAGUCGCUGAACUCGACGACCGAUCCAUGGCUCCAUGUGUAGAUGAUGAUGGCAGAGGAGAGGAUCUAGAAAGGGGGUUGGUGAAGCGAGAGAGGGACAUGGAACAAUGAAGAAAUGGUUGGAUUGAAGUUGAAGAGAUGACACAAAUAAAGUUUGCUUCUUUGGAAAAUGAAAAACAAAUUAACAUGGGAGACAAAGGUAUAAAUGCACUUUGGGGUUUUCCAAAAGGUUGUUGUGAGAUUUGAAUUUCAAAUUCAAAUUUAAUGAGCAUUUUUCCCGCCUAAUGAUUAGGUUUAGGGUUUUCCAAGUAGUAUUUGCAUUGUACUUUAGGAUUCGAUAAUAAGGAUAAGGAUAGGCUUCGGAAUGGCUUAAAUUAGUUAUGUUACGAUGGAGAAAACAGAGUUACAAGUUCCAGUUGUUGAAUAAAAAAAAUCUGCACUAAUGUGGUUGGAAUGUUCAUGUUAUAAUAAUCGGUACAGUGAUCGGAUUGGACGGACAAGUACUGAAGUUUCAUUAGGAUCAGAGACGAGAAGCUUGAAGGUGGUUAGGAAAGUUGGAGCAUUAUUGAACAAGUGGAAUCUUCUUUGGAGCAACCACUCGAUGGAAGUACAUGUAUGCAUUGAAGUCAAGUAAAAGGGAAUUUUGGAAAGCUUUAAGUGGAGCUUAUGUAAAGGUUUGGAUGGCAGUUGUAUCAAACAAAAUCAAGGAUUCCUUAGUUAGUUAACUCUCUCUUUGGGUAGUUUGAAUCAUGUCAUUGAAAUUGUGUUAUUUACUUUUACUUAGUACAAAUGAGGUUUUAAUGGAUAUGCAAGUCAUGAUAAUGUGAAUGAAAUUUUAUAUAAUAUCAAUGAUAUGAAAGUGUUGAUUAUAUGAAUUGGUUCUAGCAAUAAAAUGCUAAGCAAGACAAUUGAUUUAUAUACUUAUAAAAAUGAUGUGAAAGAAAAAUUGAAAUGAGUAACAUGCUCAUAGAAAGAAAAAUAAUAAUAAUAAAAUUGAGAAAACUCUGUUUGCUACAACGAAGAGAUAAUGUAGCCUAUGAGGUAUAGCUCAUAGUAACAAAUGUGAAAACCUCUAUUUGCUACAACGAAGAGAUAAUGUAGCUUAUGAGGUAUGACUCAUAUUAACAAAAUAAAAUAGUUACCGUUCGCCACAACGAAGAACUUUAAGUCGAAAAAAAGGUAUAAUUAAUGACAUGAACAUUAAGACAAGAAAUAUAUAAUUAAUGACAUGAAUGUUAAGCCAAGAAUUAUGAUUAUGAUUAUGAUUAUGAGUAUGUGUAUGAAUAAAAAUAUACAUUAUGAUUGAAUCAUGAUAGUACUCUAGGUAGCGAUCCUAGUUAUCCCCGAUCGCUCAAUUAUAUAUGAUAAAGACUGUAUAAAUCCGAAAUCAUAGUAGUUAAUAGCGGAUAUUGACUACUAUGACUUUAUAAACUCGCCGCUAUUGGCCGCUAUGCCCGAAAUGGGUUGAGUUUAGAACAUAUGUUGAUCCUAGGUUCCUUGAGAUUGCCUACAGCCUAGGAUAGGUGGAACUCACUGAGACAUCAUGUCUCACCCCAAUCCCUUUUAUUUAUUUGAGAUAUUCAAGUUACUAAACGUCAGGGUUCGUGAUGAAGAAGCAGAAGUUGUUGGACCAUAUAAAGUUCACGUCAUUGAUAUUAUUUUAGAGGUAUAAUACGAGAUUUCUAUGUUUUAUUCAGAGAAUUUUUUUAUUGUUGUAAUUUUAAUGUAUCCAAUGCCAAGUUUAACACACAUGCUAGAUAUCCUAGGUAAUUUCUAGUAGGGUGUUUCACAAUUGUCCUUGAAAGAAAAAAAAAUUAAACAAAUGCAACGGUGUAGCUCGUAAUUAUACCAUAUGAAAUACUAAUGCUUGCAUCAAAAUUAUUUCAACCUACGUUAGUAGCAAAAAAUGAAAAUAUGGUAAGGUUCAAGAAAAAGGAGAAAUAAUACAGUAGCGCGCUUGUGUGUACAUGUAAGGCUUCACUCGUUGGGUUUAUUAUGAACAUCAUCCAAAUUUUGAUUAAUGUAAGCUUGUGUUACAUUAAACAAAUUUCAUGCAUUAUUGAAUACAUACGACGCUGAUAGAAAACAACAAAAAUUGGGAGAAAAUAUAUCGUGUAGGAGGAACUUCGCAAAGCUCUAUCAUUCUUCUUCCACUUCCUCAAGUUCAAACAAACGCCACUGACACAGUGGCCGCUGACAGUAGAUACUCUCAACAACUUCUCCCACCCAAAGCUUCAAACAAACAGGAACAAAUGGUUCGUUAAAAAAUUGGUGACUUGUUUUGCAAGUAAGAGUUAUAUUAUGAGUACAUAAAAGCAUGCAUCAUCAACAACUUCCUAGACGAGAUGGUUACCCACAUUCUGUCUUUUCUCCCAAUCAAAUAAGCUUUUAGAACCAAUGUCCUUUCUAAGAGUUGGGUCCCAUUAUGCCACUCACUCUCCAUUAUCUGCAUUGAUGAUAGAAGCUUGUAUCCCAGAAACACAGUGAACUGGGUUCACUUUGGUCGAUUCAUGGACCGUGUCAUUUUUUAUAAAUGGGUUGAAGCAUCAAAACGACGUCAUCUUUAUCUAUCCUUGGUUGAUGUCCAUUCCAUUUGGCACCUACGUACCACCAUUUCCUACUGCAAUACACUUUUGGUUUUGAGACUGAUGAAUAUACAUGUAGUAGCUAUGUUUCAUUGUUCUGUUGAACUUCCUUUUCUCAAAACCCUACGGUUGUGUGAUAUUUAUUUCGAAGUUGAGGAAGAUUUCACGAAACUUCUCUCUAGGUGUCCUGAAUUGGAGUAUUGAAAACCUACAAUUAAUUGAGUCCAUAUAUAGAGUGGUAGGGUUAUGUAAACCCUUAUCCACGUUGAUCAAGGCCGAAAUCAUUUUAUUUGAGGUUCUAUGUAUAGCAGUUUAUUUACGAAGGUUAUGUUAUCAAAGAAGGCCGAAUUAUUUACGAAGGUUAUGUAAACCCUUAUCCCUUAUUCACUUGUAAUUUCCAACAACAAUGACCAACGAUAUAUAUCAAAGAAUUUGGGUGGUCAGAUAUUUACGAAAAGAUUAUAGAUCUUGUUGUUGUUUUAUAGGCAUAUCUUCCCAUAUGUUAUGUACAAAUAUACGUUGUGGGCCUUUUGGCCGAUGUUUGUAUUAUAUUUGCUCUCUUUCUCAUGUUUCGUUUAGUUUCUUUAAAUUAUUCCAAAAUGAACAUUUUAAUAGAUUAGCUAUGACAAGCUUUAUUUUAAGCAUAACAUGUUUAUCCUUUGAACAUCAUUCUAAGGUUAUGUUAUCUUUGGUUAUGUAGGAUCCUAGUCUAAGAAGUAUGUACAGAUGCACAUACAUUGAACACGUCGACACCAAUAAUAAUUUGAGUAAAUAACACAAUUCAAUGUGAUCAUAUGUGUCGAUAUCGUAACAUGAGUGUGACACCGAAUACACCUUCGAUAAAAAAUGUCGUGCUAAAGAGAUCCUAGUGUUGGCAAGAGUACUAUAUCGUUGCAUGUAUGGCAACAAAACUGAAUCUAAAACUACGAUGCUUUUUGUACUGGAGCUAGGGUUUGUCUCCUAUUAUUGUUUAAUGCUUCAAUUUAAUAUCACUAUUUAGUGGCCAUUUCAUGUAUUACCUCAAAAAUUGGAAUUAGUGGUACUGGUAAGAACAUAUACCCUAGAUCUUGUCCUCAGGCAAUGACCUUCAUAAAGAUCGAAGAGCUAGCGGGAAUGGAUGAUCGUGUUAAAGAGGCAAAAAAAAGGUAUUGGAAAACUACAUGUAGUCAGCAGCAUCAGAGUAAUUUAGAUGUAAAAUUGUAAUACUGUGAAGUGUUAAUGAGAAAUGAAAAACUUUGAUACAAUAGAUUUGUCAUCAUAUAUGAAGUUUUUCAUUUCUUAAAUCAUAUUAUAUCCUUUAAUACAGUGAAAAGGUUCCACUAAAUUGGAAUAGAAAUGCAAAGAAGUUUUAUUGAUUCACUCAAAGAAGCAAGGCUCGACCAAAUAAUCUUAAAAAGAGGAGUGCUAGCAACACUCUCUCUAAUACUCACUCUCUUAUUGGUUUAAAUCAUUGUGGGUUUACACAUUGGAAAUAGAACACACACAAAGUAGUGGGACAUACAUUGAUUUCAUCCAAUAGAAGAGUGAAUGUUAGAGAGAGUGUUCAAAAGUGAGUGUUGCCUUUUUGGCCGUAGGCUUGAAGCGAGGGAUUUAGUGACCUAGCCCUUGCGCCGACCUUGAGAAGCAUUACUCAAUAUGUAGAGUACCUAAUUUAAUAUUUGACUUCUUAAAUUUUAAUGGAUGUAUUGAAUGUUUCACAAUUCUCUAUAAGGGUAUAUUUGUAAACAUAUUCAAAAAGUUUUGAGUUAAUAGGUCUUUACCCCCUCUAAUAUAGAUCAUUUUCGAUUUUCCCCCCUCUAAAAUCUUUUUUUUGAUUUACCCGCUGCAAACAAAAAUUGUUUUGAUUUACCCCCUAAUAAGCCAAACAAAAAUCAAUUUUUUUUUUCAAGAAAUUUUCGUUUUUUGUUUGACCUAUUAGGAUGGUAAAUCAAAACAAUUGUUUUUACAGCAGGGUAAAUAAAUAAAUAAAACAGGAAUAUCAGAGGUGGGUAAAAGUUUUGCUGACAAUUAAGCCUCUCUUUUUUAGUCAAACAUGUAACAAAUAAAAAAAUAAUACUCAUGGUCAAGCAAAAACUAAUCCAAUUAAUUCUUGCUGACUACAAUGACAAAAGUCAAUGAACAAAUACAGUGCCACGCGUGUAUUAUCUUAAAAUUGAUUAUUACAAAAAAAAAUUGUUUUAUCUUCAAAAACUUAAAUAAACGACCUAUGUACCCUCAUUUAUUAUUUGACUUUUUAAAUUUAAAUGGAUGUAUUGAGUGUUUCACAAUUCUCUAAGGGUAUAUUUGUAAUCAUAUUCAAAAAGUUUUUUUUUCUCUUAUAAAAGGAGGGUCACAAAAUGAUAAAUAAUUUAAAAAGUUUUGCUCACAAUUAAGCCUUUUUUUUGGUGAAAAAUGUAACAUAAAAAAAUAAUACUUAUGGUCGAGCAAAACUAAUCCAAUUUAUUCUUGCUGACUAAAAUGACAAAAGUCAAUGAACAAAUACAAUGCCACACAUGUAUUAUCUUAAAAUCGAUUAUUAUAAAAAAAACAAUUGUUUUACUUUAAAAAACUUAAAUAAACGACCUAUGUACCCUCAUAUAAUAUUUGAAUUUUUAAAUUUUAAUUGAUGUAUUGAAUGUUUCACAAUUCUCUAUAAAGGUAUAUUUGUAAACAUAUUCAAAAAGUUUUUUUUUUCUUCUUAUAAAAGAAAGGGUCAGAAAAUGAUAAAUAAUUAUAAAAGUUUUGCUCACAAUUAAGCCUUUUUUUUGUAAAACAUGUAACAAAUAAAAAAAUAAUACUUAUGGUCAAACAAAACUAAUCCAAUUUAUUCUUGCUGACUAAAAUGACAAAAAUCAUUGAACAAAAUACAAUGACACACAUUUAUUAUCUUAAAAUUGAUUAUUAUAGAAAAAUAAUUGUUUUACUUAAAAAAACUUAAAUAAACGACCGCUCAAUGCCCUAUAAAUUAAGAUUGAUGUAUGUCUUGUAGGCAUUGUGCAUACAACAAUGGCAAUUCCAAGUGCAAUCACCUUAAAAUCAUCAAUACUCCUAAUCAUGCUACUUGCAUUUGAGGCUAGAGAGACUAUCGCUAUUGGUGCUAGGGUAACAGUUACUAUUGUAAACAAGGGAGCGGAUUGUCUCCUGUGAAGUUUCUCUCCAGUCUUCUCCUGUGCAAUCCUAGCCUUUCCUUUUUAAAGACAUGUCAACGGCUACGAUUAAAACCAAUUAAAUCAUAGAUUUUGUCUCUUUCACAAACCAUUUUCUGCUCCAUCCUGCACAGGUUUGCGACGGUGUGGGGAAGUUGCGAUUGAAACCACGGCCGUGCACGAACACGUACGUUUCUCACAGUGGAUCUUGAAGGUUAAAAUGGCAAACACGUUUUCAAAUACGAUCUCUAACUUCUCUGCGAAUACGUACGUACCUAUUCUCUAGUUGUCUUCUCUGUUUAGGGUUUCAUUCUCACUUUCAAAUUUCAAUCGAUUCUUGCUCAAUUCUUUCUUAAUAUCAGAUAUAUAGCAUGCUUAAUUUUCAGCGUCAAUUUUAUACUAGGAUUCUUGCUCAAUUCCUUCUUAAUUUUAUACUUUGAUUUUCGACUUCACUUUUCCAUCUUCCUUUCUUCUCUCAUUUUCUGUAUUAUUUUUUGAUAUUGUGUCGGAUUGAUUCUAAUAAGUUGAUUAUCAAUUUAAUUUCAGAUUUACUUACAUGGAAUAACACUCCCACGUGUUGGAACAUAUGGAAUUGGAAAGUUAAAGGAAUUAAGAGAACUUAUAAUUCAAUAUUGUUUAUUGAAUAGUACUGUUUCUGAAUUUGUGAAAUGCCAGAAAGAAUUGGAGACAGUUUAUUUGGAGAAGUUUGAUAUUUCAAGUUCUUACCGCAAAUGUCAUAAACUUGCUUACUCAACUCCCUAAUAGCAUUCUCUACAAAGAUACGUGCUUCCUUACAAUCAGACUCGCUUGUAGCUAUUCUCACUAAUUUAGGACAAACCUCUCUAUACCAUUGUGCGCUAUCAAGAUUAACAUCUUCUUGGACAUUUCUUCCAUGUGUAUCUUUAACACAUCCAAUCUUUGCUUCCCUUGUCCACCUUUUCAAAAUAUAUUGGUUAGGGAUUGAUUUGAUAUCUUUCACAUCAAGAACCUUGAUUGCAUGACAACACUAAAUGCCAAAACUUUCAAAUUUUUUACAGCUGCACGAAAUCAUGUCAAUGGAAGGAUCAAACAAAACUUUGAACUCUUUAUCCUCCUUAUGCAUACCAAUUAAAUAUUCAUUAGUAGUUUCACCUUCUUUUAUUUUUUUUAUGUAAGCUGCAGAGUAUUUGUCAUAUUCUUUUUGAAAAAGAUCAAACAUAGGUAAUGUAUAUGUUUGUGCAGCUUGUUGCAGUAAAGGUGAAUGCUCCAUCUUCAACCUUGGUAAUUUUUGCCUAGACUCAAAUUCACAUUGCAACUCAUUAUACCUUUUGUCAUUGACCACUCUAUCAAAGUGUUUGAAAAAUUGGAUGAUGUCCAAGUCUGGUUUCAAGCAAGAUUUCAAAUCUGCAUUGAAGCUUUCACUAAGUUGUGUACUUCGCAUGCCAAUAGUCACAGCAUUCUUCAUAUAACAUUUAGCCCACUUCUCUUUUAUUUUAUACAAACUUGUUAUCCACCCACUUUUUUGAAGAUCAUAAUCAUCAACCAAUUUAUCCCAUGCUAUUUCAAAAUCAUCUUUUUCUACAUAUUUGUACAUGCAAAACUUAAGGUCUCUCAACAAAUUAGAACCAUUAUUCAUUCUAGCCCCAAGAUGUUUUAUGCCAUUUUGCAUCAAAUGCCAAGAACAUAGACCAUGGUAUGUUUCAGGCAUUACCUCAUGCAAAGCUUUAGCCAUUGCUGGGUCUUGAUCUGUGAAAAGAGUUUGAGGCUUCUUAUUCUUAUGCGCCUUCAAGAAUUCUCUAAACAGCCAUUCAAAAGAUGCUGAAGUUUCAUCGUAAAGAAGCGCAGCACCAAAAAUCACCACUCUUUUAAAGUGAUUAAAUCCUGCAAAUACAGCCAAAGGUCUAUAUGCAUUGUUAGUACUAUAUGUAGUAUCAAAAGUGACUACAUCACCAAAGUAUUCAUAAUCCAUUAUCAUUCUUGCAUCAGCCCAAAAAAUAUUUGUUAUUUGUUCUUCAACAUCUAAUUGGACUCCAUGAUAAAAUGAUGGAUUUUCUACACACUUUUGUUGAAAGUGGUGUAAUAUACUGCCAGCCUCCCCGUAUGCCAUGUUUCUCUUCCUCUUGUUGCGAAGAUAAUUCUUUUGAUCCACGCGUGUGUAACCAAGGUUCUCUCUACCACCAACUUGCCUACUCAUUAGCUCAAAUAAAGACCUUUGCUUGAUUCCUGCAUCAUCUGCCAAGUCAAUCUCAUGUGCUUGAAUUUCAGAUAAUUUUCGUUGAGAUGCAAGCAUGUGAGUCGUCUCAGGAAGGUGCAGUUGAUGAUUAUGCUCAUCAAACAAAUCAUGAAUUUGAUACUUUCCAAUAUCUUUUAUGUAUUUGAUUCCCAUCUUUACAGGGCAUCCAGUUCUUGUUUCAAGCCGAUGAUUAGUUGUUAAGCAGUCUCUUUUAUCUGGUUUACGAAAACCUUCUUUACUACACACAAAUCUUCCAGACAAAACCAUUCCAUCUUUGCUUUUGUUCAAGUAUUCUGUUCUAACAUUAAAUCCAAUUUUUCCACCAUAAUCAUUCCAAAAAUCCCUUGCCUCUUCCCAAGUAUUAAAUUGUUUUCCUAGUCGAGGUUUCCUCUCAAAUUCGUUAUCCAUGGAGAUGGCUUAUGGUGCAAAAAAAGAAUCAAUUGGCAACCUACUGCAAUAGCAAGAGAAGAGUAUCAAACCUAGUAAUGUUUUGUAUUCAACACAGUAGCAUGUCUAUUCAAUACUAUGAUUAUUUAUGACAUAACAGGAGAAAACAAGAGACAUAUGUGGUAGUAGUAUUGAUGACUUGCUUUCAGAAAUAGUAAAAUCAAACCUAAAAUCACAGACCUAAGUGUCGUAAAAAUAACAUAUAAAUCCACAUGUCCGCUUAAUUUCACGUUCUGCUUUCAAUACACAGAUAAAUUAACAUGCAGAUUAAGGCCCCAACAACUUAAAACUAGCAUCAUAGACUAAAAAACACAGUUGAUAAUGAAGAACCAAAAUGACAGAUUUGGUUACCUAAGUCUACUAUCACCAUUUUCAUUCCACAUAAACAAAUUUCGAAUGGAUUGUUAUUUGUUACCUUGAGACAAUAAAUUUGAAACAAUGACAAAGACGAUGAAUGAGCGUCGCAAUAGGGUGAGACAACGUCGAAUACUGGUGCGGAGACGACGACAACGGUGACAACGAUGGCAAUCAAGAAGCACAACGGUGGUAAGGGAAGCCAGGUCUGUGUUGUUAUGGAAGAAGAUGAAGAGGUUUCUAUUAUUUCUAAGGGAAGCCAGAACGUGAAAAGGGAGGAAGGGAAAUGAAAAUGACACAUUAAAAUGAAUGAAGGGCUGAGAUUAAUUAAGGUUUCAUUAAAAGAAAUGGACGGCUAAGAUUGAUUCACAGGAGAAAACUGGAGGAAAUUUCCACUGAAGUAGAUCCUCUCCGUUCAAGGUCCAACUCCAACAACCAUGACUGUUCAUUGCAAAUCCAAAAAUGAUGAUCUUGGAUUUCACACAAUCAUGUUUGGACAAAGUUACGUGUUUUCAUUCAAACCAAUAGUAUUUCCAAUUUUCAUAGCUACGCUAUUCUUCUGUAGUUUUACAUGGCCACAAGACCCCAAUCUUCAUUAUCUUGACGUUUACGAUGCAAAAAAUGACGAUUGUAGAGAUUGCUCAUGGAAAAUAAAUGUAGAUGGAGGAUGUUUGAACGGUGAGUGUCGUUCUUUUAAUAAAAAUAUCCAAUUAAUGGAUGCAAGAGCUUAGCCUUGCACUUUCAAGGUAUUGUUUCAAAUUUUAGUAGGGGAUGGUUGUAAAAUGGCCAUGAGUGUCAAUUUAAUUAAUAAAUUAUCUUCCUAUGAAAUAUUAUAUUUUUGUCAACUAAUUCUAUAGUCUUUCAAUGUUUAUUUAAAGUGUAUUACUUAUCACUAAAAUUAAAAGUAUUGAAUAAUUGAAAAUAAGAAGUAAACUACAUGAGUUUUCAAAAAGUUAUCGUUACUCUUACUACCUACUACACCAAAAUAAAAUAAGAAGCGAACAAUGUUCUCCUCCUACGACAUAAUUUGUUUGGGGAUGCACUUCCAAUCUAUGAUAUAUAAACAAACACACACACCGAUAUAUAUAUAUAUAUAUAUAUAUAUAUAUAUAUAUAUAUAUAUAUAUAUAUAUAUAUAUACACACACACGUCUAAAUUGAUUUGGAUCUUAAGAAGAGUUUCUUCCCAAAAUAAAAAAGUUGACGCGUUUGUCCCCGUGAAGAAAGCUCACUAGGUAGGAACAAUGCAUUGUAAUAUACAAAGGUCAAGAGUUGAACCACAGACACUCCACUUAUUCACCUUAACGAUAGAUUCUAGUCACUAAACUACUUGACAAAAAUAACAAUUUAACGCAUUAAAUAUCUUUUAGUUAGUAUGUUGACCCCAUUUUCGGCAUAGUACGUUGAUGCUCAGAAACUGGUUAGGAACGAAAAUAUAUCAUUUCUCAAAAAUAAUUUAAAAAAUCGUAUAAAUUGAAUAAUUUAUUUUUAUAGUAUAUAAGGUAUUUUUUAACAGCAAUAAGGUUUAUUUUAUAACACUUAUCGAUUUAUUUUACGAGUAAUUCAAUACAAAAACUUCCAAGUAUAUAUAAAUAUCGUUUAUACAGCUAAAUUUUACCAGAAAGCUACCAGCUCUGUUUACGUAACCUUUUUUUUUUUUUUUUUAUAGGUUUUGGACAUGAUUGAUGACUCCAUGUCAACACUAGUAUUUUGGUCAUGUUUAUGUCGUUUUUAUGGCAUUUAGAGAGUCAACUGCUUGUAAUUCAUGGUAAAAUCAUAUCAAAAUAGGAACAAGAGCCCAAAAGAAGAAAUUGAUGAAAAGAUGAAAAUAUUCCUAAGUGUGAAGAAUCGUGCCACGUUGAAGAAGGUUCGUGGCACGUUGUGAAGGUGUGGGACAAAGGAAAUCAAUUCUGAAAGAAUCGUGCCACGACAAUUUGUGGAUCGUGUCACGAUGCUAGGUUUUAUCUACUACCUCGUAGGAUUAAUGAAGUAAUUGUGCCACGAUUGGAUCGUAACGUGGCACGAUGAUGGGCUUUUCUGAAACCCUAAAAUUCUUUCUAUGAAAGCUAGCUAAUGCUAAGGUUUAGGGUACCGAUUAUUAUUGCGAUUUUGAGCAUAGAAGACACCAGGAGACCGAAGAACAAGCCCUGAAUCUCAUACCAACUCAUAGUUGGUCCGGAUUUAUGUAUGUUUUCUCUUGUUUAUGCUUAUGAUUGUUUAGUUAUCAGUAGUUAAACUCUUAGUUUGAUUGAGCCAUUAUGAAGCUAUUGUAAUAUGUGAACCAAGUAGUUGAACUCUCUUUAUUAUAAAUGAUAUGUAGUCUUUAUUCAGAAUUAUUUGUUUUCAUUGCUUUUAUUAUGAUUGUUUGCAUGACUAUUAACCCUAGCUUCUUUCAAUCAUGUUAAUUGAUCUUAGGUAUUAAUUGACUACUUUCCCUAGCUUUUAAUCCUGAAAUAGUAAUUGUGUUUAACUUUGCAUAUGAAACUAGAGAUAGGAAUAAGUUGCGAGUUAUGACUUAGGAAUUAACGUUCAGACAUAGCUUAUGCGGUUAUUCAAUCGGUUUAAGAGAUUAAAAGGUUAUAACUUAGGAAAGGGUUUUGAGUUAAGAGAUUGAUCAAAACUAAUUAGUUAAUUUGUCUUAAAGAAAGAAUAAUCAUUGAGAUUAAAGAGAGGUAAACUAUCCACAUAGGAAAAUAGUGGAUUCACUGGCUUAAUCAUUCAUCUCCAAUAUAUUUUUCAAAACAAACUAUAUAUUUACUUUUUGUUGCACUCAAAUCUACUGCCUAGGGCAAACUAAAUAACCUUUACAUAUCCUAAACAAUAACGUCAUUGCUAUAAUUGAGAUUAAUACAGUCCUUGUGGAACAAUAUUUAUUACUACUUCGAUACUUUUUGGUACAUUUGCCAGAGUUUUAUCAAUGAUUACACCAAUACGGAGUAAAGUAAGGCAAACAUAAGCGCCAAGGGCAAAACCAGAGCAUCAAAGACAUUUGGGAAGAGCUUGAUUCCCUAAUUAUGUAUAGAUUAAUUACUCCCUUCGUCCAAAAUUAUAAGUUAUAUCCGAAAUAAUAAGUCGUUUUACAUUACCAAUAUAGGAUUUACGUGAAUUUUCCUAUUAUACUCUUAAUUUUUGUUGUGUUUUUUUAUUGUUGAGUUGGCUUCAUUUUCUUAAAACAAUAUUUUCUGGCAAGAUUUUGUACCAGAUGACCUAGACAUGUAGUAUGACAUCCUUCAUAUGAAGUUGUACCGUAUUUUUCCUUCUUUGGAGUGAUGUAACUUUGUGUAUGAUCGGAGAGGAGUUGCUUGAAGAUUUGUUUGGUAAUACUUUUGCUCCAAAAAGCGUGUGGUUAUAGAAUCUUGCUUGUGUUGGUUUAUGAUGCCGUAUAUUUGAAGUUAAUUUCCAAUAUAGAUUUGUGAAAAAAAUAUUUUUCUUCUAGAAAGAUUGUUGCUUAAAAUAUAAUUUUGUUCACGCAGAACAAUGGCUAUAUCAGGAGACCCAGACCCUAGUUUCUAAUUACGAAAAUCAAGAUUAGAAAAGCAAAUUAUUAGGUUUUUGUUUGUGAUUCUUUGUGUUAUUUUGUACACCUCGCUUGUGCCUCCAUUGAAUAUCAAAAGGUUGAGAGUAGGUUUGUUUAGUUGACUUGUAAUUAUUCUUUGUAUAACACUAUAGUGCUUCUAGCAAGAGUUGGUUUGUGUUUUGAGUUGUUCUCCUAAUAUUAUUCUAACGGUGAUUGAGUCAAUCACUAGGGAUAGGGGUUGAGAGAAAGUUAGAAGGGUUUAUCAUAUUUUGGGGGAGUUUUAUAUAGAAAUACACGUGUAGUAUUAGGUGAAGAGGUAAUGAACAAGGUUUGUUCACAUAAGACUAAAAAUUAAUACUAUUGAUAAUGUAUUUCAUUUCUUGAGUGGAUGCCCCCGAAGAGGCAUGUGAAGUUGCACCGUAAUGGUUUACCAAAUCUCUUGUGUUCUUCGUUAUCGCGCUUUACUUUAUUUCUAUCUAGUAUUCAUUGUGCUAUAUUGUUGUACCUGUUUUCCAAGAAAUCGCAUAUUAACGCAGCUAUUGUCUAGGUCAUCACAUAGAGUAUCUGUCCAACGAGUACUAGAAUUUCAAUUAUAUUUUUUUGCGGACACUCUUAAUCAUUAAUAAUUUAUCUUUUUUGAAUUCUUUAAUUCAUCUUUCAUACAUAAUAAAUAUAAAAUAAUUUUUUUAAAAUAAUUCUUAAUUUCUCUGUCAUGCAAAAUUAAUUUCAUUUUACCAAAACAUCUUAUAAAUGAAGGAGGAUGAUUUACCAAAACAUCUUAAUUUCAUUUUACCAACGGUGGCAGAGAAUGCUUCGAUGAUUCGGUAAUGGUUUCCGGUACGGUGACGAUUAGUCUUUGUGGUGGAAUGAAGGGUGCUUGUAGGCACGUUAGCACUCCAAUGCUCAAGUCUGUAACAGAACUGAAAGAGAGUGAGUAAGUUUGGAGAAGUGAUGUUUUGCAACAAAAGAGGGUUUUUUUUUAUAUAUAUAAAAGAGGUAAAUGAAGCAGUAAAACCGUCAAUUUCCUCGGUCAAAAACCGUCGCGUGUCUUAAAUUGGAAAGUAGUUUCUUUGAUGUAGUGGAGAAGCUAGGAGUUUUCAAGAAAACCAAUAGACAAGAAGGAGGCGCCAGAUUGAUGAAGAGAGUGGGAAACGUCCGAAGAUGAAGCAGGAAAGACGUCGAAGGACACAUGGAGAUAUGGGGCAAAUAGAAAGGUUCCAUCAACUUUUGAAGUCCAUAAGUAGUGGCCACAAAAUCUCGAAAUCGUGGGGAGAAAGAAUCCCUAAUAUUAACUACUCUCAAAAGUCAAGAUUAGCGUAACACAUGCUUUGGAAUACUUCGAGGUUUUUUUUUCUCUCAAAAAUGCCAAUUCUCUCCUUUGAAUAUAUUCAGUAGAAAAUUUCAUUUUUAGGGGGCAAUUUUUUAGCUGAUAUUUUCACCAUCCUCAUUUAAUGUGGUCAACAUUAGUUGACUUUUACUCUUACAGAAAUCAAAGUAUUUUUUUUUUCAAUCAGAGAGGUUUCGACAAAAUGUUGGACUCAACAUAAAGAGUCUUGAUACAUUGAAGUUCAAUAGGAUAUAGAGCAAGAAGCGAAGCCGUAUAAGUCAAGCAAUUGCCUUUGGAGAGGGAAGAUUCGAAUUUCAAAAGAGAAGCGGUUUCCUCAAGAGAAAACGUGGGAGACAAGCGAUUGUCUACAUGGAAGGAGUGCUAAUCUUGGGAUUAGUUUCUUUCCACUUAUUUCCUAUGUAUAAAUAAUAGUUUUCCUUAGGGAAAACGGGUCUCAAAUCUCCUAUAUGGAAUUCUAAAACACUCGAAGUAACAACGCAAGAGAAAAGAGUCAUAAAUCUCAUAUUUUAAAAUGUAUGUAAAGGAUUUGCCGAACCACCUUUAUUUAUAAUGCACUUGCAUUUGUAUUUUUUCUUUUCUUUGAGUUUCUGCAAUUUAAAACUUAAUGCAUUAAAACCUAUCGAAAGACGCCACACGGUCUUGUCCAGUUCGUUAAGCAACCUACGAACUCGAUGAACGCACAAAAAAAAAAUGUACUACAUAUCCUAGGAUCUCUGGUUUGAUCCUUCUUGUUAUAAUCAAAAUCAGUCUGUAUUUAUUUACCAAAAACACUGGUAAACAAUUGCACACCCUUAUUUAUUGUUGUUUAUGUUUCUGACAUUUUAUGCUUCUUAUACCUGUGCCUCUGAUAUUAUUUUGUGUUAUGCUCUGUUAACUUUUUGCUCAUAUAUGCAUAGAAAUAUUCAUGCUGUUAUCCUUUUUCAUUUCUUUUCUUACUUCUCUCUUUAAUUUAUUUUUAGUCUUUUUUUUUUUUUAUGACAAAAGGGGGUGUGGGGUAUAGUACAUUUAGAUUCUGAGUCCACUAAAUUAAGAUUAAAAUUAAUUUAGGAGAACCUUCUUCUCAUCUCUUAGUCUCUGGAUUUGAUGUGAAUUAUUUCUGAGGGACGUUUUUAAUGAUUAAAAUGAAUUUAAUUAACUUGGAUAAAACUCAGGGGGAGCUUACAAACCUCACCUUAAGAACUAUCAGACUCAGGGGAGCUUACAAACCUCAUACCUUAAAGUCAACUUGUUAAUUAGAUUAACAACAAUUGACUAUUAAAAGUAGUGUUUGUCAUCAUCAAAAAGGGGGUGAUUGUUGGAACAAAAUGUGUUUAACAUUACCACCUUAAGUUUUGAUGAUAACAAGGUAUUAAAAAGUCAAUUCGAUAUGCUAGUAUUUGUUCAAGUGUGCAGGACCGUAGACUAAAAUUUAUAAGUCUUAAAACAAGGUAUUGGUUCUGAAAGAACAAAAGAGAGCAAUUGAAUUUACUAAGGAAGCUUAUGUUGCAAGUUUGAGUCUGAAGACCAUCAGAGUCUGAAGAUUCAUCAGAAGAUGACUACCAGAGUCUGAAAUUCAUCAGAGUAUGAAGUCAAGAAUCUGGAGUUAGUUAAAGUUGGUUAUUUUGAAGACACAUGAUUGCAAAAGGAAUAGAAGCCUGGAACAACGUAUAUUUCAGAGGAAUUAUAAGGCAUUGGAUGCUUAACCACUGAAGAGCGCAUGAAAGAACAAUAGUAUAAUUGUACAACCACUGUUCCACUAUUCCACUAUCAUGUAUGCACAUAGUACUGCUCUAGCUGUGUCUAUGCUGGUUAAUUCUCCAAACAAGGAAUGGAUUUCAAAUUAUUUCCUCCUAGGAUAUUAACCAAAUCAAGCUCUAGUAACGACUCUUUGGUGUGUUGGAAACCUCUCAACGUCUCUUUCACACCUCUAUAUAAAGGAGUGAAGACUUGGAGAUUUAUAGUGACUCAACAACGUUUUGAUAGUGUCAAAACUCUAUUGAAAUUGUUGUGCAUCAUAAACUUAGAAUUUCUUAUAAACUUUCAUAUCUUAGAUAUUCUAGAGUCUUAAGAGUCUUAUCUGAUCUGUAUUGAGAACACCACUGAUUGUAUAUCAAGUGUUCAACCUAAACAUUGUAAUUUUGUUUGUCUAGAAGUCUCUUGCUUUUGUGCUUGAUCAUAGGAAAAUAUCUUACUUGUGUGCUUGAGCAUUUGUAAUCAAAUAUUGAUUUUAGUGAACUCUCCUUGGAAGUUCAAGGGGGACAAGACUACUUGCGGAUUAUGUAAAGAAUCUAUAUAAUUGUUUGUGUCUUUCUCUUCUCUCUUUCUUUAUCUUUACAUUAUCCACUGCAUUAGACUUGUACAUUGUUCUGGAAACUGGACUCUAUCAGACUAUGGACCUUGGACUUAGUUUAAAAAGAAGAAAAAGAUAACACAAUUCACCUCCCCACUACUCGGUCCGCCCUUGGUUAGGCUCAACUUACUUAACAAUGGCUGGAGAAAGAACAUCAGCGAGGUUCAUGAUAAGUGCUAGAAAGUUGUAAUUUAAGUGAUAUAUUUUAGGCACUUUUGUUACUUGUUUUGCAAGUUAUUAAGGGAAAAGCCGAGAAAUAAGUGAUUAUUGCCCUUUUACGCUUUAUCUAUCUUACUUCACCCAUUUGUGCAGGAUUUGAACUCAAGACAUCAAGGAAAGAGAAGAAAAUGAAGAAAAGUACAAAAAGGUUGAAAAAUGAAGAUUACUCGCCCCCAACUCGCCAUGGCCAGUAAAAGGCGAGCAAUUCCAGUGGCCAACAGAGAUUACACGCCACCAACUCGGAAUGGCGAGUAAAAGGCGAGUCUGUUCGCCAUGGCGAGUGGAAUGACUCGCGAGGCGAGUAAAGGCGGUUUAGCCUCUCAAUGCUGACGUGGCACAAACCCAAUGGGGAAGAAACUUCAACUCGCCAUGGCGAAGGAAGUAGCUCGCGAGGCGAGUUGAUGCAGAGUCAGAAUUCUAUAAAUAGCCCACUCAACCAUUUCAUUAAGAUAGUUUUAUAUACUUUAGUUUUUCUCUGAGUUUUUCACUUGUAAUAUUUCUAGAGAGAGAGAUAGGGCUUGUGCUUUAUAGAGUGAGAGUGAUAGAAAGUGAAUUCUACAUCACUUUGUUGAGAGAUCACAAGUGUGUAAUGGAUCUUUCUCUUUCAAUUCAUCCUUGCAAGGCUUCCAUGACAAUGAGUAGCUAAAUCUCCUUUGUUGGGAUUAGAGGUACUUGAUCAUAGCUUAAACAUGUAAUCUUUUGAUUUAUAAAUAUAUGGUUCUAGCAUUUGAUUUGAUAUUGAUGUUAUUCUUGCACUUAAUCUUUAUCUUUGAUUUAAUUGUGAUUGAGAAAUACUUUUGAACGUAGUGGUCUUCCAAGUUUAAUUUUAUUUUUUAAACACUUCUAUGUGGAACAUAGUUUCUUGGGCUAUAGUGGCAAGGACGUACCUGAGCAAUACUGAAUUCAAUUCACAGGGGGAGCAACGCUUGGCUAGUGCGCAUGCCUCUACGCAUGAGCCAGAUUAGUUGUGCACCUUUGGUGAGUCGGAAACCGGUGCGAAAGCAAAAAAAAAAUAAACACUUCGAUGUGGGACAUGUUAGGCUUAGACACCUUUACUGCUUAAUUAUUUGGUUCAACAUUUAUAGCAUUUGUGGAUAAACAAAAGGGUCCGCCCUAGGCAUAGGCCGGGGGUGCGACGGCCUAGGGCCCAUGCCAUUAGGGGACACUAAAAAAAAUUAUGUAAGGGGGUGUAUAUAGAAAUAUUGGAUUCAUUGGGGGUUUAUAUAGAAAACUUUAUUGAAAGGCCCGAAAUAUUAACAUGAUGAAGGACUGGACUCAAAUCUGUUAAUGUAUUAGGCCUUUUGACAAGAUUUGCUAUAUAUACCCUUGUAUAACACAAAGAUUUCUAUAUAGACCCUCCUUAUAAAAAAAUUGAUUUUUCUCAAUAAUGUGAAGAAAAAAAAUUAUUAUCGAAGAAAUUGACAAUAUUUUUUGGGCCCUUUGUUCUUAAUAAUGUGCCUCACUAGUAUUAAAAAUAUUGAUGAUAUUUAUUAUCAAAGAAAUUGGGAUAAUUUUCAUAACAAAACAAUUACAUUUUAGUUGAAAAUGAGUCUAUGAAAUUAAUCUUAAUCUUAUAUUUCUCAGGUUUCAAAAAAAUAAAUUAUAUUAAUAUUGUGAUGACAACUUUCUUGAAUUGAUCUUUCAAAAAAAAAAAAAACUUUCUUGAAUUGAUAGAAAGGAUUGUAAAAUUGAAUUCAAUAUUGCAAGUUGAUGCGAGAGCAUUCAUGCUCAUUAAGCCGAUGUGAAACGCCUUCAUGAUCAUUUCGCAUGUGCUAUUGUUCUCUUCUAAGGUUUUUUAUUUUGUUUUAGUGUUUGUAAAGUAUUUGAUUUAUUUUCAUAAUAUGUUGCCUAAAAAAAAUGGUAGUGAAAAGAGGAAAAAAAUAAAAUAAAAUAAAGAACUAAUAAAAUCACAAUAAUGAACUAAAAAAAAUUAUGACGUAUUAUAUAAGGGACCAUUUUCUCAUAUUAUGCCUAAGAUCCGUAAAACUCUAAGAACGGCCCUAGAUAAACAACGGGCUCCAUGGAACAUGCCUAAGUGCCCAUAUCCUUCACAUAAUUGGGCAGGACCCAAUGUUGCAAACAAAACUCCGCGACCAAGCCUUCUUGUCUCAAGGCCUCGACAAAAGUCGCUUUCACUAUAGCUGCUGUAACACCCAAAUUUAAGUUAAAAAUUUGAAUGAAAUAUUUUCUAAAUAGAAACUUUAAUUCUCUUUAAAAACUUUAUUGAAAAGUUUACAACUUAAAAAAAUGAAAUUUUACAUUAAUAUCUGAGCAAAACUCCUCAGUCCUCAGUCCUCAAAUGUGUACUUCUAUACCUGGAAACGUCACCCGAAAAACAUAGUGAGCAAAACUCAGUAACAUAGAAUUUAAGGAAAAUAAUAUAGAACGUUUCCAGCCAUGUUAGUGUACAAAACAUGGAAAAAUCCUCUCUUUAACUUAAAUACAAGUCUUACACUUAUCAUACUUUUAACCAUUACAGAAAUUUCAACAAAGAAAUUAAAAUGUAAUCCUUUAUAAUGUGAAUUGACGUACUCAAUUUCAAUGUCAACAAUUAGUUUUUUCAGUCAACAUAAUCAUGUACAUUCACCUUUUAAUAUACUUUAACUUUAGAUAUAUCAAAUGUACGAACUUGUGCCGAUGUAUAUAUUCAUUUGAAAGAAAUUAUGUUGUAAUUUUAAUGUAUCUAAUACUAGGUUUAACGCACAUGCUAAAUAUUCUAGAUAAAUUUAGUAUGUGUGUUACAUUUGGUAUCAGAGCAGGUCGAUUCAGAUCGUGCCUUGAGUAAUUAGAAUUCAAUGAACGUAGUGGGACCAUUGGGUUUCAGAUAUUUAUUCUGAAUGUCAUUACAAGGUGAGCCUAAUCAACUCUGUCUAGUAUAUGACGGUUAAAAUGAAUGUCUGAGAGCUGAAUAGGACCUAGGAGGAAUGAAACGCAUGAAUAAGUAUAAUCAGGGUGUCAAAACUAAAGACAGAUUUUGGUGAAGAAGUACUGAUAAGUGCUUAAAAGUAACAUAUUUUAUGUGUUAAUCUAGGCAUUUUAGUGACUUGUUUUGCAAGUUAUCUAAGGAAAAUCUAUCAAUUGUUGUAUUUAUACCAUUUAUGCUUUAUGUGUCUAAUUCUGCCCAAUUUAUGCAGAAAAUGACAAGCAAGGUAGCCCACUGGCUAUCCCUUUCGCAAUUUGAUGCAAAUUAUCUCAGCGAUGUGAUGGAUUCAGGUCCCUUAUUGUAGAUAAAUUUGUCAAGAGAACCAUUAGACAUAAAUUCAUAUACAAGAGCUUUUUUGGUGCCUUCGUAACAAAAUCCAAGAAGGGUGACAAUAUUAACAUGCGAGGUUCUAGAAAUACUAGCAACCUCAUUAAUAAAUUCUUCACCGUUUAACCUUCAAGUUUAACUUUCCUUUGCACACAGCACCAAAACCUCCUUGACCAAGUUUAACCUUGAAUGAGUUUGCAUUCUCUUUAUUUCAAAGAAUUUAUAUCUUUUCUGCAAUAGAGCUCUAUGAUCUUUUAAAAAUGCUUCAAUAUUUGAAUUGUUCUUUUUGCUAAACCAGAGUUUUACUUGUUGUAUUAGUAUCUAUUUGGUUACACGUUUGUAAACCCCAAACUCCCGUUUUCAAUUCCAAACGCCAAUUCAACCAUCUCAUGGAUGUUUGGAUAACUUUAAAACCAAUUCUCUAAAACGUGAAUCUACCCAAAACAUGAGUUUCUUUAAAGCUAUAGAUUGGAAUAUUUGUUGACAAAUUUACUUACCAUAUUACCCUUAUCUUAUUCUCCAACUUCCUACACAUAUUUUUUUCUUCAGUACUCUAUUUUUUUUUUCAUUGUCUUCCGACUGCAGGUGUAGGUUGAAGACAACCCUUGGGGUUUCUAUUAUUUAACUCUUUGGCCCAUUAAGUGUGUUUAUAUUAUGGGUUUUCGAUUAUUUAUUUUUCUUUGUUGAGAGGAUAUUUAUUUUUCUUUUGUUGAAAGAAAUAAAAUAAUGUUAAAAAAAUAGUUAUAAUUUAUAUUGAAGUUUUUUUUCUUUUGAGGAAAUAAUUUAUAUUGAAGUUGAAAUCCAUUAUUAAUUUUAGAUAAGUUGAAAUAAUUAUCUAAAAUGAGAAUAAAAAUUUAGUUAAAGACAAUUAAAAGGGUAAUUUGGUCAUUUAAAGUUCAAAAUCAAUUUUGAUUCAAACUAUCCAAACAACAUCAACCCAUAAGAAUCACUUUUAAAUAAGUGUAUCCAAAAAUAACGAAUUAACAUCCAACUCAUUUUUAGCCAAAAUAAAUUAUCUCAAACUCAAUUCUAUCAAAAUCAAUUAUCGUCACCGCCAAACUAUACACACAUUUAUUAAAUUUCCUCUAAAAUAACAAAUUAUGAUACACACUAACAAUGCUGAUAUUGUUGCACUUCCGAAACCUGUUGUUACAAAAGGAGAACUACCUUUAUUUUUAUGCCGAUGAAAGAAAUCAAAGAAAAUAAAUAAAAGUUAUAAUGUGUCUUUUCUUAUAGAGACACUUACGUAGACACAAACUUAAAUACAAUUUAUUUAGACACAAAUAUAUAUAUUGCUAGAACACACCCACUAAUUUUUAUGUGGGAGUGUUUUAGCAAGUUAUAACUAAAAAGUUAAUAAAUACACCUUAAGGUGUAUAUUGCUAUAGCACACCUUCUAGAAAAAGCAAGUGGGUGUGUUCUAGCAAAUCCUAUAGGCAUUUGCUAGAAUACACCCACUUAUUUUUUAGAAGGAGUAUUUUAGCAAGUGAAUAACUAAAAAGUGGUUAAAUACACCUUAAGGUGUAGCUUUGCUAAAACACUCCCACAUAAAAACUAGUGGGUGUGUUCUAGCAAAUCCAUAUAUAUAUAUAUAUAUAUAUAUAUGUUGUAGAUUCAUUUAAUUAACGAUGUACAUGAUCUUUAUUAUACAUCACUUAUAUCAUUUAAUGAAUGAAUCUAAAAUAUUAGUUUUUGCUUAUAAUAAUAACAGGCGGAUGUAUUUUUCAUUUUACAUUUAUGAUAAUGGUGAAUGUGUCAAAACUUGAUAAGAACGUUUAAAAUUAUUUUUCUUUUUCUUUCACUUAUACACUUUUGUUAAUAUAUGAAAAAUUAUCAAAUGACUCUUUUAAUUUGAGUCGAGAUCAAUAUACUUGACUUUGUUUUUUUUUUUUUUGCUUUGCGCAUGUGCAUUAAAUUAAAGUUUGAUAGUAAUAGAAAUCAUGAAGUUUGAUUUACUUACCUAUAACGACUGUUCUUUUCCAAUUAGAGUCACUACCUGCAAUAAUAAGCAUUGAGAGCAAGAAAGAACUGUUACUGUUUCUUGUUUUUUUUUUUUUUUUUUUUUUUUUUACGGAGUUAUGUCUUUAUAAUUUUUUAGAAAAGAAAAUAAUCAAUAACCGUGACUAUUCUAACAAAUAGUUUUUUAAAUUCAACAAAAAAAAAAAAAAAACAAAUAGUCUUUUAAAGCUCUCUUAUUGAAUUUCUACUUUUUUAUCAUAGGCGAAUUAUUUUUUUUUUUAAUGAAAGCGAAACACUUUUCUUGAAAUAAUUUUUUUUUUUUAAAUUGUGUAUUUAAUGUUUAAAAGUUUAAACACCUUUCUUUUGAAUACAUAUUUUAUAUCUUAAUUUAUGAAAACUAAAUCUGAAUCGGUAAAACGGUGAAGUAUACAUACCUGUUGUAGCACGAUGAAUGUGUUGUAUCGGUGUUGGUGUUGGUGCUGGUGCCGAGGAUAAUGUAAUUGAGCUAUUGUCAGCAGUGGCAUUGGGACAAUGUGUACCAUUACUGCAAACUAUAUACAGCAGAAUUUUGUUCAUAUUAGUAAAACAAAUAUUCUGACAAAAAUAAUUCCUGCAUAUGAAUUCAAAGCCUAGGUUUGCACUUUUAUUAUUCUAUACGUGGGAAAACUAAAUCUGAGUAAAAACCUGUAGAUGGGUGAAUAUACAUACCAACUUUAAGUCUAGGUGAUAUAGGACUAGGCAGUAACAACGAUGAUGUCCGUGUUGGUGUCGGUGCCUGUGUCGGUGGUGGUGUCUGUGUUGGUCGCAUUGUAGUUGAGCCAUUGACUUUGAGACAAGCUGAUGCUCCACGACUUUGUGGACUGCAAGCUAUAUGUAGCAAUUUUUUGUUCACUAAUUAGUAACAAAUAUAUGCUGGAAAAAUAAACUGAGAUAAUGUAAUUUUAAAGAUUUCACUAUUAGUAAAACUAACAUAAACAUGGAGGUUGCGUUAAUAUCUUGAAUGUUUAGUGAUGACAUUAGGUCAUGCAUUAUUUUGUUAGUUGUUUCUAUGAUUUUUAGUAGAGUUCAUAUGAUUUUUAGGGGUUAUAAGGUGGAAAAUGAUAGAAAUUGAGGAAACAAGGUAAUUAAACCAUAGUGUCACAGUUUUUAUACACCGUGACAUGAUUUUGAACAAAUUUAUGGAGUUUCAAGUCGUAAAAAAAUGUGUCACGAUUUCUGCAUAUUGUGACGCGAUUUGAGGAGCGUAUGGAGGAAUUUUGAAUUUGAAUAAACACUCGUGGCACGAUUUUUUACCAUCGGGGCACGAUUUUUUAAUUACAAAAGGAGGAUCUAUAAAAGUCAGACGAGCUUUUGUGCAAAGGGUUCGAAAAUUGGAGACGAAAAAAUGCAUCUUUGGAGCUCAAAAACUGAAGAUCUGGUGGGAGGUUAUCAAAACUCAUAGUUAGCCAUCCAUUUAAUGUAAUGAAUCCUAUUUUCGUAUGGUGUUUAUGCUUUAUCCAUAAGUAGCUAAUUUCUUAAUGAUUAGGUCUUGAAUGAUUUUGUUCUAAAGUUUUUGAACAAUGUAAUAUCUAAAGUCUAUUUCCUUAUAAUUGCAAAUCUAUUUUCUUCAGUAUAAUGCAUGCUUAAUGUUUUUAUGUUCUGGUAAAAUAUAAAUUGAAUACAUAGUUUAUAUGACUGCUGACAUCAUCCUAUAACUUAUAUCUAAUAUAUUGGUCAACUUAACAGAUAAUCUAGGGAUAUAAAGUUGUUAGCUUGUGAUUUCUAAAUUAUCCUUUAUUCAAACGGAUUCACCUAAGGAAUUAGGGAAUUAUGGUCUUAAAAGAGGGCUAUGAGUAGAGGUGUAUGUGGGUCGGUUUGGAUUGGGUAUGGCCAAACCGAAGACUCGAACCAUAACAAGUGCUCUAGUUUGGGUGUUUAUCCAUUACAUUAUUAGUGUUGUUUGGCCAAACCCUCUAAUUUUUGAUUUGGGUUGUCUGGUAGUGGAUUACCCAAAUUAUUUUUCUGUUUUUUUUUUUUCAAUAUUAAAUGACUAAAUGAUGAGUUUCAUAUUAUUUUUUUUAUAUAAAAAUUACUGAACUAUUUUUUUUUCUAAAAAAUAUUAUGUAACUUAUUUUCACUUUAUUUUAGCGUCAUAAGAUAAUAAUGAUAAUAUGAAAUAAUAAAUUUCAUUAUAAAGUAUUUGUAACAAACUAAAACUGCAAGACAUAAAUUCCAUUAGCAUCAAAAUAAUCAAAAAGUGCAACAUCCAAAUUUGAAACUCUAGCAUUUUUUAUUUUCGAUAUAGAGGAUGUCUUGUGUCAAUUUUGGAUUAGACUUGAUGUAUGACCAAAAUCUUUGGUAUUCCCCUUCUUUUUUAUGAAAAUAAAAAUAAAAAUAAAAAUGCGGGUAUUAUUGGGUACGUGAUUUUAUUGGGUUUGUGUCUGAUUUUACCCGAAACCCAUUAUUUUUUGUGGGUUUUCCAUUUUUUAAAUCAUACCCACCCAACUCAACCCAUCUUUUUCGGUUUUUUGUUGUUGAUUUUUAAAUACUGUUGGCCGCAUUUUGUUAAAACAAGAUGUUCUAGCAAGAUGUUGGACCAGAUUUCCUAGACAUGUUAGUACGACAUCAUGUACCAUGUGAAGUACUUUGUGUUGCUUUCGUGGAAGAUUAUAUUUUUGCGUGAAAUCCUUGAAUAUUUAUUUGACUCAAGAUUUUAUUUACGUCAUGACUUGUGAUCCAAGAGGCGUAUGUUUCUAGAAGUUUUUCAUUGUCGGUUUGCUACGUGGUAUUUUCUAAGUUAAAUGUCCUAGACAUUUAAGAAAAUAAUAUAUUUUCUCCUAGAAUAUUGUGAAGAUCGAAUAUACGUUUUGGUCUGCUGAUUGUUUAGCAUGUGAAGAAAAAGCCCAAACUGCUGGAUGGUUAUAUAAGGAAGAAUUAGACAUAGUUUCAUUUAUGAAAUCAAUAUUAUUGAAUUGAGUUUUUUAGGAUUUCGUUGUUAAGGCUUGUACUUUAUUUUUUAUACCUCUUUGUGUGUUGCCAUUGAUUACCAAAGCACAUAGAUGGUUUGUUUUAGUUGAAUUGUAUUUGGAUCAAAUCCAUCAUAUUUAGAAAAUAGUAUUAGGGUUUGAGUCAAUGUUAUUUGUGAGCCUCUCUUUGUAUGACCUUAAUGCAUUGAGCUGGACUAAUUAUUUGAGUUGUAUUUUUGAACCGCUCUAAAUCUUUUCAGCAAAGGGUAUGUUUUGUUUAUUGGAGUGUGUCUCCUUUUUUUAAUGUAAUCAUUGAAACCACGGGUUGUGUGAUUUAGAUGAAGUGAGAUGUGAUCUCAUAUCUAGGAGAGUCUUAGAUAUAAAUAUCACAAUAAUGACGAGUCUAAAACAUGAACUGGUGAGAGUGGCUUAAGACAAUAAAAGAUAGUAACGAUUAAACUAUAUAUGAAGAUGUGAUCCUAAACUUAAUGAGCCUAAAAGAAUAAGGAGAUAUUGUUAGCCUUUAAAUUCAACAGGCUCAUUUAAUAUGAUCAACAUUUGUUUGACCUUUUACUUUGCAAGAAUUGAAGGCUUUCUCAUUAUAAGGUUGAAGAUUUCGACAAUAUAGCAAGCAAAUGCGUGAUUUGAAGUUCGAUGGAACAAAGUCGAAGAAAGCUCGCGUCAAGGUCAAGCAAUGAAGGCAGGAAAGCACGAGUUCAAGUUUGGAAGCGGUUUACUUAGUGGAAACGUGGGGCAAGCAGUUGUCCUAGAUGGAGGAAGUGUUGAUCAUGGGGCUAACGGUUUGCCAGUUAGGUUUUUAGUACAAAUAAGUGUUUACAAGCUGGAAAAUGGGUCGCAAAUCAUAUACAUAAUUCUACAACAUUCAAACUACAUGCGUCUAGGGAAAUGAGUUAUAUAGAAUGUAUGUAAACUGAUUUGUAGACCACCUUUAGAUUAAUGCAUUGCAUUUACCUUUUCCUUUAAUUUACAUGUUUAAAGCCCUUUAUCUUUUCAUUUUUACUUUACGUUGCUUUUGUUUGCAAUCUCAAAUCUGUCGAGAGACAAUGCCUUUUCUUUACAAACCCGUCAUGCUCUCUAAGUAAUCUGAGUGCAUCUCGUGGCUCUUUUUCAAACCUUUUUUUUUUCAAUCAAAACCUUUGCACAACGUGCUCCUGAGAUCUCUAGUCCGGUCUCGCUUGUAACAAUCAGAACUACCUCGUAGUUUGCUGAAAACACAGGCAAACAUAUACACCUAAUGAUGGAUGUGUGUUUUAAACAUGAUGUUGAAAUAACGAAGAUGUAAACUAUAUAUAUGAUAUGUAGAUAUGAUGUUAAUGGAUCAAUGAGAUGUUAACGUUGUAAUAUGAUGGCAUAGGUUGAUAGUAUAAAUUUUAUAUGACGAUGAUGCAUGACGUAAUAAAUGAUGUUUGUGAAAGACUUCAAGGUAAAGUAGAGAGAGUUGUAAAAGGGUAAUUCAUGAACUAAUAAAGAUGAAAAUAAUAGUAAAUGAGAGUGAAUGAUAAUUGUAGCGAGUAGUAUAUAUGAAGAGCGAGAACGUAGGAAAGUUGUUAGGUUGAAGAGAAGAAUAGUCAAGUUAAAUGGUAAUGAUAAAGAUACGAUGAAGUGUAGUUAACUGCUGAUAGAAGGGAGUAGUUUAAAAAUAAAAUAUAGGGUGAGAUAUGUCGGUCGUAGUAAGGAUGAAUGUCGAGUUACUCUUGAAUAAUAAGAUAGGUUGAUAACAGUGUAAUAGUGAGGUUGAAUUAGAGAACUGAAGAUGAUGAGGGGAUUGUAAAUGAAGAUAUACAGUUGUGUAUGAAGUAAAUGAAUGACGUGAGGGGUAGUAGGAGCUAUAAGUUAGGAUAUGAAUCGAUUAGAAGAGGGUUAGAUGAGAGAGAAAGAAGAUAAUGGCUAAAUGAAGAAAAUGGGAUUAUAUUUGGAAUAGUUCAUAAACAAAAUACGAAAAUAAUAAAAGAAUCUUAGAAUAAAGGUUGAGUCUAAUAAGUACAAACUAUUAGUAAAACAAGCAUAUGAUGUUAGUGGCAUAAGGCAGUAGACGGUGAAGGAAAUGAGUCAAUAUAUGAAGAUAUGAUUUUAUAAGUGGAAGUAAUGAUGAGGUAAAGGCUUAAAUCUAAGACGAAGAAUAGGAUACUCCAUAAAGGGUAAGGUAUAGAACCAACAUGAACAAGUAGAGUGGUGAAGUGGUUUAAGGUAAUGAAGAUGCUAGUCGGAGAAAUAAGACGAAGGUAAUUUGAAAUAUAAAGGUGUAAGUUAAAGUAAGGGAUACUAUUAGAAAUAAUGAUAAUGGUGAAGUAACGAACUUAAGUUAAAAUAAAUAGAGUGUGCUCGAAUUAAGAGGAUAAAUGAUGUUAAAAUAAUUGAUAAGAUGAAAUUGAAUGGAGAGUUGUCGUUAGGAUCAAGCACUUAGUGAAUGAAGAUAGUUAAUGUUGAAUAUAGGUUUUAAGGAGAUGUUGAUUGAUUAUGAUGUCGAGUAAUGAUGUAUUGACUAUGUUGAAAAAUGUUGAAUGAUGAAGUAAUAACCAUGUUGUAUUAUGUUGAAUAAUGACGACGUAAAUGAGCUAUGUUGUGAAGAUGAUCUGUUGUCGAGUAUUUACUACAUGUUGUUAGUGAGUCUCCAUGCAUCAUAUCACAUUGCAUAAAAAUGACGAAAGACAAAUGAUAUUUGUAUGUUCAGUAACUCAAAUCUGACAUACAAAUGUUGAUCAGAAACCGGUACCGGGAUGCAUAUAAGUCUAGGAAUGAAGUGUAAUAGCAUAUGUAUCAUGUUAGGUGUAUAUGGUGUAUUUGUGAUCUGGGUUAAUGUUGACGUAUUAUAAAUGUUAUGUGCAUUACUUUAUUGUUUUGAAAUUGUUGCUUUAUGAUAACGACGACGUGAGGAUGAUGUCGUAUAACCCGAUGACGAAUUGUAAUAUUUUUAGUGCUAUUUGUUACCUUGUUCAACAUUGGAUUGGGAUUUUUUCAAUCGACCCUUUUCGUAUUUCAGACCAUUUGUUCAGUUUGUUCAUUUAACAGACAUUUCAAAAGUUUGGUGAACUGACUUACAUGUCAUUUGGUUCGCUAGUAUUUGGAUCAUUUGAAAAGAGAGGGACAACAUAAUUUUAGCCUCGAUAAAUGACAUGAACUGUUGAUUGCAAUGGUGACUGUUUGAGCCUCGUUUUUUGCGGGUUAAUUGAAAGAUGCAUCGACGCAUUUUGCCAUGUUGAGAUAUAAAAAUAUGGUGACUUAUAGUAACUAUCAUACUCACACCAAUAAGUUUGACUCAACUUAGGGUCGUAUCUGAGGCAGAGCAAGGAGAGGGCCGUUCUAAGCCAAAAAAAUAUUUAAUUAGGCCCCAAGAUAUAAAAAUUAGGCGUCUAUUAAGUCCAAAAAUAAUAAUACUUAAAAGUUUAGUUCUUUGUUGGUCUAUUAAAAAUUUAUCACAUCAUGUUACUAAAGAGAGUUCAAAUCCCUAAUUUGUAACAACAACACUAUAACAAUGUAUACCAAAAUAAAAAGGUACAUGAGAGAAAGACAAAGUUGCAUUGGAAACUUAAAGGGUAAGAAGAAAAAGGGUUUCAACGGCAUCUUCAUUGCCGAGUAUGAUUCACGCAUUAUUAUUUUAUUUUUUGUUUUAUUAUUUUAUCGUAUAAUGUUGCCACGAAAAUAUGCAUCUUGUAGUGAAAAAGGGAAGAAAAAAUGAGCAACAAAAUCACAAAAGUGAGUCAUAGAUAAAUUUGUUUGUAAACAAAUGAUAGUCUUCAAAUUAUGAUUAAUUGGUCGUAGAAGAAGAUGAUCUCGAACAAUCCAAUGAAAAUUGGAAUGAUGACAAUCUUAUCAAUGAUAAUGUUUUUAAUGCGUCGAAUGUUAAUGUAGGCAUAGAUGACCACUUCAUCUAUCCUUUAGAUAUCUAUGAUCCUAGAAAUUGGAGUAUUCUUGAUGCUAAAACCAUAGACAUUUUAAUUGAAAAUGGCCUAUUAGAGAAUUGAAUUGGGUACUUUUGAAAGAAAAUGGUUGAUUUACAAUAAACAUGUGCACAACGUAUAUUGUUUUUGUUGUAAAUUACUCAUGAAGUUUGAUGUUUUUAUUCUAUUAUUAUCUAACGUAAUAAAAACAAUCAUCUUAAAGAAAAUUAUUCACAUUUUAUGAAUUCAAAAAAAAAUAUAUACUUAUUAAUUAGUUAGAGUCUAAAUUAUAGGUUUGCCUUUAGACCACCAAAAUCUUAGAAAUGGUCUCGACUAAGCCGCAAGGAUAAGAAUUCAAAUUCUGCUGCCAUCGUGAGGAUGCAAUUGAUUUGUAAAUAAU